rnacentral:lncRNA from 1 species
AAACAAAUACCCCUUCCUGCUUAAUUCAAUUAGAAUUCAUGCAAACAAAUUAAAUUCUCUCUCGCUCAAUCUAAUAUCAUUUGGAUAUAUAAUUAUUAGAAGAUAUGUGGCUAAUGGCUGUCGCUGAUACUAAGAAGGCGGAAUCUCAUGAUGACGAUCAAGAUUUGAUGAUGCGCAAGGGAGGGAUGAUUAAUGCAAGCAUGCGAGAGCAUAAGGGGAGUCUGCUGCUAUUUCCUCCUGCUAGAGGAGGCAUCAAACGCAGGAUUUUCACUCUGUUUUAUAAACAACUGAAGCUAGCUGCCCUCCAUCUCUUCCUUCGUUGAUCGUUUUCUUCUCACCACCGGCUGCUGCUGCUGCUGCUGAUGUUAUAUCUACAUUAAUCUUUCUCUCUUCUUCUUCUUCUUCUUCCUUUUUUUUUUUCUUUAUGUGUUGUAAAAUGCUCAAAAUAAUUAAUGCCAUUUCACUCAUCUGAUUAAAUUAUUGUAACUUGGAUAGUGUGUGCAUGCAUCGCACAAGUGAUGAGUGAGUUUUGUUUCAGAUGUUGUAAGCUUUUCGAAACCAUUCACCCACCUUACUGACUAAUAAAUUCAUUUAAUGAUUACUUGUUUGAUAUAAUAAAAGCAUAAAUACUACACGUAUGAAAGUUGAUCAAUGACAUCAACUUCACCUGGUUUUAGGGUUUACUCCUGAUACUUUUAAUUUUUGAUCCAUUUUCUUUUGAUAUAAUCAAUCGUCAGCGCGUAGAUGUUUUUCUGGUCUUAUAUACGGGGGAUUCUAAAUUCUCUAAUGCUCGAAUGGGUUCACCAUUUCCUGAAUGAAGGUUCUCAUUAUUAUUAUUAUUGACACGCUCUUCUCCUGUUGGUGCAAAGCAGCAAAGUAAGCGUACUACACAGCAUUAAUUGUUGCUAAGCACAGAAAAUUAAAGAGAAUAUGUGUAUGUAACUCCUCUUUCUAUCCGAUAAACGCAAUUAUUUUCUUAAAUUACUUAUUUUUCGAGACUAAUUAGGUCCAGUUAUGGUGCAAUUGUGCUACCAUACUAUAGUUACUUUCAGUCAUUAGAUCCAUCUAUGACGAGAGCAAAUGUCUGAUCCUCACUAAUUAGUUAAUAAAUUAAUUUAUGUAUUAUAAUCUAAAAAUUCAUAUGCGUGUUCGUUCAUAUAUGCAUUUGUUUUCUUAAUUUUAUAAUUUUCGUUUUCUUUUUCUCUUUUUUUUUUUUGUUUUGGGGGGGGGGGGGGGGGGGGUUGGGGGAUAUUUUACUGAUCUAGUAACGUGUAUCGAUCACUGGACGUCAGGUGAUCAGGCUAGGGAAAAAAGAAUUAAUAGAAAUAAUCCCGUUCAAUUUGUAUUUAAUAACUUUCUUUUAAAAUCACUUCACAAAUAUGCACAAAGCCACAAAUAAAUCCCGGAGAAGAAGUGACAUUUCAUAAAACUUUUAUCAAAAUAUAUUUACUAUAGGAUUCCGCUAGGUGCAACUGUGGCACGGUGCCACUGUUGCACCGUAGCCUGAUCCUUUACUAUAUCAUGCUUCUGUACUAAUUAUUAGUAGGAAAGUUUAUACACACACAUAUAAUAAUAAUUAUUAUUAAUAUUAUUAUGGUUAAUUUCAGACUACUCCUCGUUAAUUGAGUAUUUUUAAAUCGGCCUUUCUACUUUAGAAAAUCUUAAUUUUUCUCUAUUUUGAAUAAAAAAAAUCAUCAACACACCUCAUCUCUCCUUUUAUCUUUUGAUUAAAUAUAAGGAUAAUUUAAAGUUUUUAAAAGUAAGAGAAAUAAUUUUAAAAUAAUCAAUUCACGCGAAAAAUAAUUCAGAAUUUACCUUUUUACUGUUAACGUCAUGAAUCCAACACAAGUAAUGGUAAACGUUAUAUAUAUAUAUAAUCAUACUGUUUUGAUUUUAUACAAUGCUAAUUAUCUAUUUCCUUUUGAUUUCACAAAAAUGAGUAUGCCAGUUUUUUUUUAAAAAAAAAUCAAUUUUCAAUUUUCAAUGUGUGUGUGCAUAAAACAUAUGAAUAGAAUUCCUUGCAGAUUGUUCAUUUGCUCAUUUUACUUUUGUUAAUAACCAACCAAAUGCUUGAGCAUUAUAACGAUAUUAUUACCUUCCCAUACUAUCUGGCUCGAAAUUUAAUUCGAACCCGUUAUGUGAUGAAACGCUUGAAGUCUGAUCAUAGGGGAAAAAAAAAAAAAUCAAUCUUUAUUUUCUUUUUCCGGGACAAAAACCACUGACAAACAAGUAGAACAGUAUUGUACAGAAAUUUAAUGAAAGAUAUAUACGAAAGUACAUUUUAAAGAUUUUACUAGCUUAGGCAUAAGCAACCCAGAAUAAGUCCAAAACCCAUAUCUAUUUGUAACCUCAUGAACAUAAUCUGAUGCAAGAAACCUGAACAAACAAUUCACAAAAGCUGUACCACAAUAAGUAUGCUGCUCAAGUCACUCAAAAUGACCUAUUGUUGGAUUUAGAUGUCGACGAGGAUGAUGUUUUGGCUCUUGCAAAAUCAACAAGAUCCUUGAAGAGAACAUCUUCAGGCUUUUCUUCUUUCUUAGGGUUCGGCGAAUUAAGAGCAAGAUUCUGAGUCUGUCCCACUAAGCUGUCAUAAGAGGCGGCACUUCCUCUGGCAGAGCUGCCUGGAAAAGCAUGAUUUUGCUCAAAGAAUUGCUGCCGUUGAUUGUACCUAGAAGGAGGAGGUGGAAGGCUUCCAGCAGGCUGAGCAUCCCAAGGAGCAGGAGGCAGCUGCUCUGCAGAUUUGCUCAAGGGAGGUGGUUCAUCAUAUAAAGGCCCUGAAGAGAACGGAGGUGGUGAAGCAGAGUUACCAACUGGAAUUGAGGAAGUUCUUGUUGGGGUCAAUGGUGGGGAGGAAGUUUUAUAAGAAUGAGUUGGAGCAACAAAAGGUGUGGGUUCAGAUGUUUCAGGAUAUGCGUCAGAUUUGUAAGUGUCGCCACUGAGAUAAUCAAUUGGGCCAGAACUGGUAAGAACUGGCUUUUUCGAUGAGGGUGGUGGAGGAAGAAGGGGGUUGACUGGUACUAGAUUGGUCCUAGCGCUGAUGGGCUUCCUGCCCAGCCCUUGUGAAUUAUCUCUUGAUGAUCUGUAGUAAUUUGAAUUUACAAACUAGUCAGAUGUGUUUCUGAAACUACAUGAGCUUAAUGAAAGCAGAUAAUAGCAAUGGUGAAACAGAAAGUGUUUAUUUACAGAAACAAGAAAAAAAAAAAAGGCACAAAAACAAAAAACAAAGAAACAAACAUAAUCAGGAAAGUUACCUGUGGGCCAACUGGGCAAAAUCAUCUUCCGAUUCAUCUUCCUCAUGGUCAACAUUAACAAAUGGCACAACAGGAGUCUCUGUUGAUUGUGCUGUAGGAGUUCCUUUCGCAAUGUCAUCGUGCUGACGAAGUACACGCUGCAAGUUAUCAUUCAAUGCCAAUCCCUGGCAUAGAAGUUCCUCAUCUCUGAAAGCAAGGCAACUGCUUGUCAGCACUAUCGAUAAUAAAAGAAGAUAAAACAAAAACUCAUGUGGAUCAAACUCUUACGCAGUAUUAUUCACAAGAAGCAUGACACGUUUUUGGUACGAACGGCAUUGAUCAACAAGGUCAACAAUUAUUUCUUGCUUCACAGCCUGCCAAAAGAAAAACCAAGAUUUAUAAGAACUUCAGGAUAAUUGAUCAAUCAGCAUGCCCGUUUUUCCUUCUAGCCAAGAGAAUCAACUAAGAAGCCUUAUUUCACCACUAAUUAGCAUAAAAAACUGGGAACGUCAGUGACACCAUUACUAAUUGGGUUCUGCUGAAAGAAGCUUUAUUACCUACUACUAUCAAGCAAAACUGUAUUAAGACUUAAAAGGAACAAAACCGAUACAGUCAAGAGUAAAUAAUACAUAUUCUAUGCAUGUCACCAUUUAUGAUGAUCAGAUUGAUCCUUAGGACUCCGAUCCUUAUCUUUUCCACGAAAAACAAUGGGUCCGUUAAAUAAAGAUAAGGACAAAAAAUGCACUGAGACAGAAAGAAAAUUAUACCUCAGGAUUCUUGGAAUCCAAGGCACCAAGCAUUUCCAUUAACACAUCAGCUAGUCCCUUAGCCCUUUGAAUCUCUGCCAGGCUGAAAAUAACAAAAUUUUCAAAUAUUAAGGAAACUAGCAUGGACACAUUCCCAUUGUAAUAUCAAGUUACACACCAUUAAAUCUGUAGAAGUAUGUGUGCAAAUGUGCAUUAAGGAAAAUAACAAAUUUUUCAUACAUGAGGGAAACUGACAUAGACUCAUUCCCAUUGUAAUGGCACAGUUACACACCAUCUAAUCUGUAGGCAUAUGUGUGUAAAUGUGCCUUUUCAAACAAAUUGGAAACACAGGAGGCUGCAAGACAGGCAUAAGAUAACAAGGUAUAGGUGCGAGAUCUAUUGGGCAUAUUACUGGCUCUUCCUACAUCCUUAUUCAAAAAAAGAGAUACUUAGUGGUUAAUUUCCCAAGGGUUGAGUGUGUCCAACGCAUCCAUAUGACAAGGGAAAAUGGAAAGUAAAAUGUCACAGCAAAUACAGGCAUCUAAACCUUUGAAUACAAUUUUGAAACAAGUCAGAGCACAACAUACAUAUGAAGAAAUAGAAUAGAUCAUAUUUCAGAUGAUACCUGAGGCCAGAAGCAUCUGACUGCAGGGAGGCCUGUAUAGCAGCAUCAUCAAAUGCAGAAGUAGGUUCUACUAUUGGCUGGGUUUGUGGUGGGGUGAAGAAUGGUACACUAUUCUCAGCCCGAGGUGGGAAUUCAACUCCAGCAGACUGUCAAUUAUCGAAUAAAGAUUUAGUUUAACAAAAAAGAUGUUCAAAGAUUCGUAUGUUACCAGAAAAUAGCAAGCAAAAUUCAGAGAAACAACAAUAACAUUGGGAUCGAAAGGAAUUAAAAAAACACUUUUCUUAUGACAGAAAGCAAGAGGCAAAAUGCCAAUCCCUAUCCCCAAGAUAGAACUACCCAAUUGUCUGAAAUCAACUAGACCGACAGGGUUUUUGUACAGACAAUACUAUUACUCAUUAUAUCCAUUAUCAGACCAUGUCCCUACAUCAUAGGUCGAAGCAGGAAGAAUGUAGUGCCACAAUUAAGAAACUAGCAGAUAUCUGUUGUGAACUCAAAUCCAUAUAAGCCCUUAUAGCACCGGUGGGAAAAGCAUAGAUAUAUAUCAGCUGCAACAUGACAAAUAAAGACAAAAUAUAACAAUUACCCUCAGUUCAUUAUAUGCAGCAUAAUAUUGGGGAUACUUUCCCCUCGGCCCCCCAAAAGCUUCUUGCCACGUAUCAAUUAAAAUAAGAAUCUUUUCCCUCACAUUCAAGUCUGGCUGCAAAAUUGAAUCAAGAAAAUAUGGUAUAGACCAAGUUAGUGUGGGAUGUAACAGAAGAUGAGAAGUCCAACAGGAUAGCUAAGAAAUUAAUCACCUUCUUCUUUACUAUUUUAACCAUUUCAUGUAAGAUAUCACGCUCAAUGAUCUGCUGAAAUACACUGUCACCACAAUUUUUGCUGAUGGUCUCCAAUGCCUAUAUUGAAAAACCCGUACAAACAAAUUCACAUUAAUCAGAAGUCGCUUCUAUGCAAUUGUGCACAUAGCAAUGAAACAAUUACAUCAUUGUGCAGACAUGACAAACACUUUUCAACACCAAUAAUUCUGGCACUGUUAGAAACUGUGUUUUAAUAAAUUGAGAGGUAUAUGUUGUAAAAUACGAAAACAACUAAGUUGUAAUGGUUAUACAUUGAAUAAAUAAUUAUUAAACUAAACAAACAAAGAAGUAAUCCAGAGGAAGUUACUCACAAAUAAAGCCAGCAGUUGCACUUUAGGAUUUUUACUGCCCAGGCGCUUCUUCAGUAUCUUCAAUGCAUCUUUGGCUUGCCUACAUCACCAUCCCGAAAGGAAAAGGAAUUCAAUGUGUAUUUAUGCAACUAAAAUUCGACAAUUUGUAAAUCCACCUUGCAUCAAAGAAUGCAAAAUAACUGGCUGUUUUAAGCUAUGAAAAGGCCAAAAUGCGCAAUGGAGUGGUGGUGAAAGUAUCUGGCGAACAGACCAGUGAAUACUUGACAAUGCAAUUACAACUCCUCAAAGUGGGGAAGUCAUGAACAAGUUCAAAUUAUGACUGCACCAAUCAGCUAUAAUUCAAAUAAAGACACUAGGUAUACCGACCGUCGUUUCACAACCCUUGGCAUAUGGAAGAUUAUUGCACGCAAACAUCAGUAAAUGCAAGGAACUUACAAAUUCUGGUUUACCCUACAAGAUAAACAAAUAAAAAUCAAACAACAACAAUCCUAACAAGCAUAAAAGUUCCUCUAUAAGGACCAAGCCCAGCAUUUUAUUAACUGCUCAACCAGCCAUGUCUUAACAGAAUGGCAAAGAAUAACAAAACAGGGGACUUCAACUAAACUGAAUAAUCAGUAAAUGCACCGCCAAACAUAAGAGUUCUUGCUCAGCAAUGGCCUAUAGAAGCUUCAUUUGAGUGGUUUACAUUAUGAAAACCAUACAUCAGAGCUCUUCUUUGACAACCAAGAUCUAAUUUUCAUUGACUGCUCUACCAGCCAUAAUUGGCAACAUCAAAGAAAAAUAGUACCAGAUGAUCUCAAAUAGCCUCUAGAUAUGAGUAAAUGUACCAUAAAACAACACUUUUCUUAACCAACUGCAACCCACAGUUAGCUUCAUUUGAGAGGUUUACGCAGCAAGGGCCAUGCAUGGGAAUUUUCUGAAGUGAACACGCCUUUUAACCCAAAACUCACUAUAGGACAAGACAACUCAUCUCACCAAGCUUAGAUGAGGUUCCAUUAAACUUAGAAGCAUACACUGAUGCACAAGCAUCUCAGAUGAUUCUUUGUUCUCCCUAGCAUAAAAAUAUGCAUGAAAUGAAUAAGCGUAAGUUAAAUGCGAACGUCACACAUCAAUAUUAUCCAUCCAAGUAGAAAAUUACUACUAGUGCUAAAUGCAAAAUCAUUUCAAAAAGAUAUACCUAGUAAAUUCAAUUCAUUAAAUUCUCAAAUUAGAAAAUCAAAUCACCAACACCCACUAAAAACUUAGUGAAGACGGUCAAACAGAAACACAGAAAUGGCAAAAGUCAAAAGAUUGAUACCCAGGAUCCAUGUUGAUGACAUCGCAUAACUCAAUGUUUAUUGCCCAGUCUGGACCAAUCAGCAUGUCAUUAGUCGCCCUCUCAGCACACGCUGCCGCAUUAUUAGCCAUAAUUGUACUGAACCUUAAGUCCCUGAUCACUGUGUCCUAAUAGCAAAACCGAUACACAAAAAACAAUCAAUCAUAAAUUUCAAUCCUUGACAUCAAAUUAAAAGUAAAAGAUUAUAACUUGUUAUCAUGCAAACACGAAAUCAGAUCAAUAAAUCAUCAAAAAGAAACUAAAAAUCGAAGCUUCCAAUCAAACAGAGCUUCGUAUACAAAAAGACUAAAUGGGUUGGGAUCUAGAGAGAAGCUUACCAGUGAAGAACACCCAGAAGGAGAAUCAGAAAAAGAUAAAAUCACGUAAUGGGUAUAUGCAGAAAAAGGGGAUUAUAAGAGAGAGAAUUUAGGGAUUGAUUGAAUUGUGCUUUUUUGUUUGGUGUUAUUUUGCUUUGCGUCAGCCGUUGCUGUUUCAGAGUCAGAACUUAAAGUUUCUGUUCUAUUCUCAGAGGCUUGAUUAAGAUUAAGAGAAUUAUUAUUCAAUUAAUUAAUCCCGUUUUUGUUUGGUCUAAUGUUAAACGUCACAGCCUGUGAUGCACUGAUGCUACUAUUGGGUGACAGGCAAAUUUUUUUGUUUUAAUGAUUUUUCUCUUCUGAAGUUUACAUAUAUAAUACAAGGGUCGUAUAAAGGAAAAAAAAAAAUCAAAUGAAUGAAAUUAAUUUUUUUUUAAUUUAAAAUAGUUUGUACACGAUUCAUAUGUUUAACUUGCUAGCAUUAACUGGUUCAAUUUGUUAAUUAAUUUUUUUUUAGCACAAAAAGUUAAAGAUUUAAGAUCUUAUGGAGGUCUUUUUAAGAAUUAAUCAAUAAUUUUAUAUAAUGUAUAUUUAUGUGAGCCUGGAAAUUCAUGAUUAUUUUAUAUAAAUAAAUUAUUAAUAUUAAUAAGAUUAUGUUGACAUUAUUUAUGCAACAAUAAAUAAUAUUGUCGCGUAAUAUUGUCUGAUUAGCUCAAAAAUUUUACACUAUUAAUAAAAAAUAAUGUGUGAAGUUGCUCAAUAAAUUAUAGCAUUCAAGCUAAAUAACUCUAUAAAAAAAAAAGACCAAAGUUUAGUUAUAUAUUUAAAGUAUUGAUGUUCAAAUCCAGUAAAAGAAUAUGUAUCUUUAAAUAAGUAAUUACAAAUCAAAUAUUUAACAAUAGUUAUUUUUUCGUAAAUUAAAUCAAAACUGACAAAACAAAUGAAGUCUUGCUCGGCUUCAUUUUCAUCUGUCUGUGACCAAAAGCAAAUAACAAACAGGGCUCCCUUUCUUGGGCUUAAACAAAUUUUCCGUAUUAGUUUAUUUUUUCUAUUAAUUUUGAUGUCGUCAUUAAAUAAUAUUAUUUUGGCUGUUGCUAAUUUUGAAUUUUCUGUAGAUGAACGGAGAAUUUGAUCUCAGCCGUAGACGCGUUUCUUUAGAGCCGACCGGGCCCACGUUAGGGUGUCUGAACGGGCAGAGCUGGGCAUCCGAACCUCAUGAUAAAAGUCAAUGCGCCAAUGUGGGACCCGCAUGAUUGACCGGGUCCGAACUGGUAAAACAACAGCGGCCCGAGGGGUCAAGGUCCAAGUAGCCGGUUUGGUCAAAAUGCUUUGCAUCACGCCGUAGCCCAUCAUCCAGAAGCAUUUUCUUUUUUCCAUAGCUGAUCCCAGGGGUCAAGAACGUUCUUGGGCUUUUCUUUUCUUUUUUUUUGGGUGUAUUGUUAAUACAAGAAUGUUUUUGGCCUUGGGAUACCUUAAAGUUAUAAAAAUGUUCGAGAAACCCCAGUUUAAUUAUAUAUAUGAUGUACUUUGGGUGUCAGCACUGAGAAUAAGCCGAAGCUUACUUUAAAAAUUUGAAAAAGAAUUAAUGCCUGCAAAGAGAUGUCAUCGAUAGAAUAAUAAAUAUAAAGAUCCCUCUAAAUUACAUGCAUGUACCUUACAACCCUCUCACAUGAAUAGUGAGUGGACCCACAUCAUUCACUAUUCAUGUGAGAGGGGUGUAAGGUACAUGCAUGUAACUUAGCAUUGGCCUAAAUAUAAAUUUUUACAAUUCACUGAUAACCAUUUGUUUACCUUUAUUAUUGUCUUUAUGAUUAAAAUUGAUAGUUUAAAUGACCUGAACCUGAAUCAUGGCAGAUUUUUACAGCAGACUUCUUAUGCGGCUAAUUUAUAAAUUUGUAUCGUAUUAUUUUAUUUAAAAAAUGAAAGUUUGUAUUUAAUUUGAAUUAUUUUAAAAAAAAACAUAUUCUUAUCUGGCCCAUUUUCAAGGAAAAGUUUUGAAGUGGGAUGGACUGUUGGCGGGGGGUUAAAGAGGAAUUUGUAGGGGUGACAAUUGUCCUAGGGGAUGGAUGUUUGUCAAGUACAUGGACCACUCUUUCUGGAGAUAAAGGAAGUAGAUGGAUGGGCCACGAUGUUGAAAUUCCAAUUUCAUAUUUACACAAGCAUGCGGCAUACAUACAUUUAAGUUAAGAUUAAAAACUCUGCAUGAUUUUGUAGAUUAUUGACGUAUAAGAAUUGAAUGUGCCAUGUAUGUUGAAUAAUUAUGCGCAUUUUAUAGAUGACAAAUAAGAUGACAGUGUUAAUAAUGAAAGUCAUCGUGAUGAAAUUAGCCUCUGUUUGUAAAAUUAUAAUUCCUGAACAAAGAGCUGUGAGACUUCUGUCAUUUACAAUAUCUGACGGACAUUGACUAAUUAAUGGCUUUAGGCCUUAAAUUUCGAGGCCAUCCAUUCUUAAUAUGCUAAAUAUCAGGCUGUUUUUGAAUGGCACCUUCGUCCCAAAAAUGAUUACCUGUCUCUCUCUCUCUCUCUUUAUAUACGACAACGAAAGCGGCCACUUGAUCUGGUUGGUGAUGAAAUUCUAUUAUCUUUGUUCUUCCUUCUUCUUCUUCUUCUUCUUCUUCUUCUUCUUUCUAUUACCUAAUCUAAUAACGAGAUGUUUGCUUUUAUAAUGGCAAGGACAAGGUAGAGGUGGAGGUGUGAAAUGCAGGCCUCGAAGCUUUAAUUUCCUCUGGCCAAGGUGGUCGCUUCAAAAUUGAUGAGUGGAGCGAUGGAGGUCUCUACCUUGGGGUAAUUUUUUACCAGUCUGGAGAUUUCUAAUUGUUGAUUUCUUUUUGUGUUCAUCUUGCCAUCGUUGGGCUAUGAGAACAAGGCUUAUAUUUGUACAGCCGGGCAGUUGUUGUAAUAUAUAUAUAUAUAUCUUUAUUUCACUGGUGAAAUUUGUACUUCUAGAACCCACUACACUGGUGACUGACGGAUGUGUUGUCUCAGUGAGGUGAUGCGCGAGGAGUAAGCAAGCAAGCGUCUUUUAAAGUUAAUUAUUGAAUUUAUCUCUUUAUCACUUGGAGGUGACUCAUGUUUGUUGAGAAUCAGCCUGGGCUAUGCUUCGUACAGCUUGAGAAUACUCUGAGGCUGAUAUUCGAGCUGGCAUGGAAUCCGAUUAGGAUCCCGUAUGGCAUUAUUUAAAUGCACCGGUAAGGAUAUGGCUUAGAGAGGUUGCCACCUGCGUGUUUAUGAUCCCGAGAGCAAUGAGGCCAGCUUAUCUACCGAAUGGCUUGGACACGAAUGGAGAUCGCAGUUACGGAUCUGAUUCAGUUGGCAGCUCGAUCCUGGAGUUUACCACGGGUGUUGACUCCAUUACGAAUAUUGGAACUGGUGGCCUUAGCAACCGAGACAGCGAGGGGAGGGCCAAACGUUAACACGGUUUCUGCCAAUGAGUCGUUCACAAGCCAAGCCUAAACCAUAUUUUGCUCUCUUUUUAGUUCCCUUUCCACUUUUUUGGCUCCUUACUGCUCUUUAAUUUUUUUUUUUUCCCCAUUUCAUUAAUAUCUGGGUAGCUGCCCUUUAUACAUCUGUUCUGAUGUAUUGUGGUAGUGUAUAUCAAAUCGUCAAUUCAUCGAUCACCCGAGCCGAAAAGAUUAUGGUUCCUAUCAUUCACAAUCCCUGCGAUUCUUUUCUUCAUAUUUUUCUCUCCAUAUGAUUUAUUUAGUUUACUUAUCUUAGUCGAUAACACGAGUCCCGUAAAACUACUCCAGUGCGCUAUUAUAACAAAAUGACUAGAAGCUAAUCUGUGUGAGAUUUGAGGCACGAAGCAAAUAUUGUAGAGCACUGAUAUUUGAAAAAUCAAACCCGAUGGUGAUAAAACAACUAUAAAAUCAUAUGGUUUUAACUUGAUUGGUUGACGAGAGCACAGUUGAGCAAUGUGGUUGCCUGGAAUUAAAUCACCUUGUUGGUGGUGACAGGGCAUUGACUUGACUCUGUAUCCGACUUUCGUAGUCCAAAGGAAUUAAGAAGUACACAUAAUACAGCCAUACAAUGAACCGGAAAGCCAUUUUCCCAUCAAUUCUGGAAGAAAUGUUGCUAGGUUUUGGGUGGGUGCUGAGAGACCUCCAACUAACCAAAAAACUUGACUUAGCGUGAAAAGAAAAUCAAAGUAGCUACGGUGGACGACUUUUCUUUGCUUACCAUUACCACGUCUCGGGUGAGGUAUUACCGUUCAGUCCAUGCCCUUAGAUAAUUCUGGGGUAUCGUUGCAAGUGCUGGGGGUGCUCAAAGAUUAAACAAUCAAAAUAUGCAAGUGUGAAUUAGAGAUUCUUCAUAAGAUUAGCUAGGUAAGUUCACAUGAUUGGACAUACAAAUUGGAAAGCAAUCAAAACCAAAUCUCCCAUUGUUGUAAGUACUAAAUUUAUUUUUCCAAUAAUAGUUUCUUCUUUUUUUUUUAAAUUAAGAGACCAAUAAUAGGCUUAAAUACUAGAAGAUAAAGAAAAUUUGGUAGUCGGCCCACAAGGAAAACCAAAACUGAAACCGCUCCAGGAAAAUUUGAUAAACAAAAAAAAAAAAAAAAAAAAAAAAGUAGAUUAAUCUUAUGUGGCUAUCUAGAAUCGCUCUGGUAGCUUUUUUUUUUUUUUUUUUUUUGAAUUUUGAUAGUCUGAAUUUGGAUAUAAUAAAAUAAGCUAGAAUGCAUCUAUCUGAAUGACAUUUUUUUAAUAUCUAAAUAUAAAUGUUAAGUUGCUUGUUUUUUAAAAAGAAAACAUAUGAAAUUAUGAUAUUUCGACUAUUUAACCUCAUAAAUAUUAAAAAUAUUUAUAUUUAUUUGUUAAACACAUUACAAGUUAUAAAUAAAUUAUAUGAUUAGUUAAAAUUUUUGAUAAUGUGUACCUUAACAAAGCAUGAAAAAUAAAAAAAAUAUUUAACACAUGUAUUUUUUGACAUUAAUAUAUGAUACUUAUAAUAUAUUUUUUAGUAUAUUAUAUGAUAUAUUUUCUAGUUAAUUACGCAAGCCAACCAAGAAUUGUUUAAUCAUUUGAAUUAAAAUUAAUAUAUAUAAAAUAAUAUUUAAAAUAUAUUGGAAAACUUGUAACUAUAAACACAAAUAAGUUGACCAAUUAUAAAACAUACUCACCUAAAGUUUUAUUAAGUUUAAAAUUCUCAUUAACAAUAAAUAAAUAAAAAAGAUAGUUGAAUAUGUAAAGAAAAAAAAUGAAUAAAUAAAAAAUAAUAAGAGGAUAAUUUUUUAGUAAGAAAUAAAUAUAUUUAAUAGGGUAUUAAUGAGAGAGAAUAUUAAAUUUUCAUUCACAUGUUUGGCUAUUUAGAUAAAGUCAGAAUAUUUAACUUUUUUUCAUUAAGACAUUAACAUAAGUCAUAGAAAACAAACAAAUUUAAAACUCUAAUUCUGUGAAAGUAGUUAAAAUUAUACUUUAGAAAAAAGAAAAAGCAAUCCCUUAAUCUUCACAUGAAACUUUUUGAAAAAAAAAAAGAUAAUGAACCUUUAUAAAGUGGUUGACCUCCAGCUAUAUAAUAAAAAUGAGAUGAUGAGAUAUAUAACAAUUUUGGAAAAGACAAAAUUUUCAAUUUAAAAUUAAAGGUUUAGGACAGAUUUACGAUGUUUUAAAUAAAUAUUUAUAGUUAUAAAUUAUUAAUUUAUCAUACCGUAAUUCUUUCCCAAAUUUUAAUUCUAAAUACGAAGGUUUGCUCCAUAAUAACAACAACAGCAAUAACAAUCGUUUCCCGGCUCUAACAAACUGUAAUUAAUUAUUAAUUGUGAUUAUAUUUAUACCAGGUGCAUUCGUUAAUAACUUAAAAUUAUAGAACAAUAAUUCUCCUCCAAAUGCGUGACAGCCGACAUGCUUAUACAUAUAUUUUUUCUGAUGGACGACUUCUCGAAGGUCAUCAUUCAAAUGCUGUCGUAAUUGCUGAACACAUCUACCAUUUAUUUAUUUAUUUAUUUUUUUUUAAACAAAAAAAAAAAUAUCAAUCUUUUCAUUUAAUUCACGCUGCUAAAAAUUGCAUUAUUGUAUUUGUCACUUGGCUUAGAAGGCUGGCAUGUCACAGUCAAUUAUGCUAAACGUGUCUAAAGUUUUAUCCCAAACUGUAAAUCACGAGUGGAUGACUAAAGAUGUGAUGUUACUUAUAUUCAUCAACGUCCGUACAUCAUUAAGAAAUUUCUCUUAUGAAAAAGGUGGAUCUAAUUUCAUGGUCAUGUAUGUAGAUGUAGGUCACAAAACUACUGCUUAAAAUUUUAUUCUAAUUUUUUUAAUAUUAUUAUAUAAGACUUACUGAUAUUACAUCAAAUAUUACAAUUAAUAUUUACAAACAAAUUUUACAAUUGGCACCUUCUUCGUGGUAUGUACUCCUCUGAAGUGCUGCCCAAAUUCUUUAAACCCUCUCAAAUAUUCGAGAGUUAUCUACUCUACUCAUAUUUCAUAAGGGAUAGACUGACUCCACUCAAUUAUUUAAUAAUUGAGGGAGAAUUGUAAAUAACCCCUAUAAAUACUUUUAUGGAGGCUCGAACCCUUACACUCAACAUUGUAAGUGCAAGAGUUCUCUCAUUAGACCAAAGGUUCAUUGGUAAAUUUUAUUCCAAUUUAAUGGUCAGUUGGAUCCCCCAUAUACAUCAACUUACGUAGUCUCAAAUUUACUCUAGAUGUUCCAUCUUAAACGAUUGUGAUAUAUAAUCUGUUGUUUACCAAACCCGUUAUAUAUAACUCAUAUAAAAUUCAGUAUAAUUAAACCUUCAAAAAAAAUGAAAAUUAGUUAAGUUUGGUGGAAAUAUCAAACCAUGAAAUCAGCCAAUAAGUCCAUAUGAUAUCUACGGAGUCGCAAUCAUAAUUUCGGUCAUAUUCCUCUCCGAGUUUAUAUUUUCGGCUUUAUCUUAUUUCACACGUAAUCAACUAUUAAGACGGUAUUUAUUUUCUUUUCAAAUUGUAAUCCCAACAAAGUGUGAAAAUUGAGAAGACAACAACCCUGUUCGUGUUUACUGAACCUGAAUUGAGAAUAAAAUGAAAUUUCUUUUUCUACCCUCUGGCUUUUAUUUUAUGUACAAAAAAAAAACCACUCAUUAAAAAAAAAAAAAGUUCAGAACUCAAAUUUAAUCAUCAAAUAAUUAACAAUUUAUUCUUAUUUUAAUCAUGAGUUUCGCUAGGCUGACAAUUAACAUUGCUUCUCUUUCACUAAAACAAUUCUUCAGUUGAUCCAUCUUCAGCACUGAAAAAACAAUACUCAUGUCUGGCUACAUAAAUGGUUAAAAAAGUACAUAAUUAAAACCUCUCCAUAAAAAUUAAAACCAAAAUUAAGGACUCUCCAGAACACCGAUUUACGGAUACAAAUGCUAAGCAGGAAUAUCUCUAUGAUAUCUCUAGUAUAUUCUAUUAUAUUUAUAAAGAUUUUUUUUUUCUUUUUUAUUGCAAAAGUAAUUACAAAACGAUUUUACCAAGCUCAGAACAAGGCCUCAGCCCUCGGCAGCAAGUUUUAUUUCACAUUUUUGCGUUUCUUUUUGCGCAUGAAAGAGAAGGACAAGCAGCCACCACUCUCCUGCCUGCAAUAAUAAAAAAAAAAAUUAACAUAUCAUUACUUGCAAAAAAAAAAAAAAAAAGAAAUUGCAAUUUUUACAUAUGAAAUUUUCCAAAAAUAUGUGCAAAUUUAGAAGCAUAUUGGAGGAAUUUGUUAACGAUGUUAAACAAGACUCCCCUGUUUCAUAUGAGAACAAAUUAAUUAAUUAACAAUUAACUGGUAAGUUGUUAUUCAAUACUCCAAAUCUAAAUAUAUCGGAUAUAAUUGGUAACUGGUGAGCAAAAUCAAGAAAAAAGUUAUAAACAUGGAUAUGUCUGUACCUGCUGCUGUUUCUGCUAAGGCUGCUGCUACUAUUGCUGCUAAGGCUGCUCUUGCCACUUCCAUGAUUGCUACUAGAUCCGCUGCUUCGAUCACUCUCACUUUGCUCAAAUCUCUUCUUCCACCACUCUUUAUCAUCUACCGCAGCUCUAUGAUCAGAUCCCUCAACCACUGGAGGCCUUGGAGCUACCUUAAAGCUAUAAGCCCCCAUUUCACUCUUCUUCUUGUUCUUCUUAUUACUCUUGGUUCCAAAAGCCAAAGGAAACACCAUCUUCAGCAAAAACCCUUCUUUAUUCUUAUUGUCACUCACACUCCCAUUCCUCUUCUUCACAAUCUCCAUCUUCUUGAUCUUAUCAUUUUUCUUUUUCUUCUUCGAAUUCACUUCUUCGUGUUCUUCUACCUGCUGUUGUUCUUGUUUAACUUCAACAACCGGCUGCCGCUCAACAAGAUCUUUCAAAGAAAGCUCGUAACAGGACUCGGGCAUUUUACUAACCAUUUCCAUGAGCUCCCUCUGCCCUCUAGCAAUGGCCUGAGCUUUAGACGCCGGGGACAUGUUCCGAUAAUUCUUCCGAUGGUGGGACGGCGGGAGACUUGCACUAGGGCCCCACACAGGGGGCGGGGGAGUGCUGAACCCAAACUCAGCUGGCUCUUCAUCACCCUCAUCACCACCACCACCAUCAUCAUCAUCGCGCGGCUGAUGAUCUAUGUCAAUAAGCGGGCCGCUCCAGCUUUGUCUGAAUCUAGCAUAAUUCUCAGCUGACUUUCUGACGCGGUUACCGUAAUCCCUGAUGUCAUCGUAACUGACAUGACUGUCGCAGCUCAUACGGCCUGGUUGGUAGAUUUGAAUUUGAUCCUCUGACGACUGGAAAUUCAUUAGGUGCCGCUGCUUGUAAUUGUGGGCUGCUGAUGCUGUCGUUCUUUCCGAAUCAAACAUGAUUUUUUUUUUCCCCUUCUUUUCCUUUUGGGUUUUAAGACAAAGAGGGAGUUGUUGUCGUUUCAGGUUGUGGGGAUCGUGAAUUGUGAUUGUGGUUUGCUUGGAGUUUGGUGCACGGAUGCUAAUGUUAUCCCCCACCGCUCUUACUCAUGAGGAAUCUGUUAUUUAUUUUUUCGUAUUUAUUCAAAAACUGGGGUAGCAAAUUAACUUGUGGAUUCCUGCGUUUUAGUAAAAUUAAAAGUAAUCACAUAAUUUAUAUUAUUUCUCAAUUGGGUCCGUAGAUUAGAGCGUCCUUUCUGAGUUGACUAUGUACGAGGACUAUUUUGCUGCUGCGUUUUAGGCAUUGUAAAACAUCCCAAAAGGCUCCAUUAAAUCUUAAGAAACUGCUCUACAAGCCAAUAGUCUAGGGUUUCUUCUAGAAAGACUAUCAUUAUUAAUUUUAAUCCAAGAUAAAUAUAAAUAAUGUCAAAAGACAGUCUUAAAUUCUAACAAUUGGUGUUUUUCGACUAACAUAUAAAUGAGAGAAAAAGGUCAAUAGAUAAUUAUAGUUGAAGAAUAGAAUCAAGGCAUGACAACCUCGAAAAAAAUAAAAUAACUAAAAGUCAAAUAUUACACUUGCUAUAAAGGAUUUCAUUCAAAACAUCAUUUGUUUUGUAUUUUUCUAAAUAUUUGAUUUUAUAUUACAAUAUUAUAUGAAUUCAUUGAAACUUUUUUUUUUUAAAUAAGAAAAUAUUUAUUUGGUACAUAUAAAGAAAAGUUUGUCUGCCUUAUUAAAAAUGUAAAAAAGAUAUAACUGUAAUAUUGUAUACUUAAAUCGCGAUUUAAUCUCAACAUAGGGACUCAGAUGUUAUUAAGAGUGUGAAAGAAAUGAUUUCCAAUAACGAUACGCAUACACAUACAUGGGGGGAUGUGAUAGUGCGUGGUGGGGAGGUUAAUGUCAUAAAAAGUCAAGGGGUUCUAGAUGGAGAGCCAGGUUGAUGACGAUGAUCAUCUUGAAAUUUGAAAAUAUACCCUGGGCCCCAUUUCUCACCCAUUUUUUCUUUUUCUUUUUUUCUUUUUUGUGUCCUCGAUUUUGUCUUUUUGAGGGGGAGCUUUGGCUUUUGCUUUUAGAUUGUAGCUUUAGUUGUUAAUUUGUCUUUUUUCUGUGGCAGAGGAUUGGCCAGCUAUUAAGCUAAGCUAAAGUGCCAAACAGUCCCCCAUUCGUGUGCCUUGACUUUUUUUAAUCGAAUCCUAUAACGGAUACUAUGUGAAAUUGGCUAGUGGUUAAGUAAAUUACAGUCCGACAUUUUUUUUUAAUUUAAUAGAAAAUGUUAUCUUAAUGGAGAAGGCAAAAAAGAUAACAAAAAUCGUGAAUUGUGCGUGAGCCGUUGAGCAGUGAUUUUGUCCGAAUAAGCCUCGACCAUUUUGCGGCUUUUUAGGAAUUGGUGAUAUUUUUUCUCAGACUUUGCACGAACUUUUUUUUUUUUUUUUCAAUUAUAGGCUUUUAGUUUUUUUUUUUUUUUUUUUUGGUUGUAUUUGUAAAGUUAACAUUUGACAUUUAAUAUAAAAUCACUAGUGGUUUGAUGGUUCUUACCAUCUACAUAAAAUUUUCGGCUAUAAAAUAGUUGCAAUCUAGAAGAUGAUGAGUUCAUUCAUGGUAUUAAAAUGACUAAUAAAUUAAGAUUUAAUAUCUAUUAAAAACAUUCAUCUCCUGGUUUGCUUGUUUUCAUUCUCUAUGUGGUUGCAAGAAUUUGAUGUCGACUUGGAUGUUUUGAUAACAAUUAUUUUACCGAACUUAAUCUAUAAGUUGAGUCCUAGUAGAAGUUUCUUUUUCACUUUUUGUUAAUCUAUAAGUUAACGAAAAUGACCUAUAAAAUUAAAUUUUAAUAUGUAUUAGAGAACCACUCAUUGGUUUGACGGCUUUCGCUCUCUACGGCUGCGCCUAAUUAAGUGCAUUAGAUAUGGAUAGAGAAAUUUAAUUUGUACAUCUAAAUUUAAUUUAGAAUUUGAGUCCUAAUUGAUGAUGUUUAAGAAAAAAAUGAUAUAUAAAUUAAGAUUUAAUAUUUAUUAAAGAACCAUCUGUUGGUUUGAUAGUUUUCGCUAGCAUUGAAUAUCGACAGCUAUUUGAGUCGUAAUAUACUUGAACUUAACUAUAAGUUGAGUAGUAGUUUGUAUUUAAAACAUGAUAUAUAUUUAACAUCUUUUUUAUGGUUCCAACUCUUUGUGGCUAGUGGCUACAAGUAUUUGGUUUUGAUGAAAAAUUUAGACGUUGAUAUGGUUACAAUUAAUCUAGAAGUUGAGCACUCUUAUAUAGUACUUAAAAAAUGAUAUAUGUAUAUAUAUAUAUAAAUUGAGAUUUGACGUUCAUUAGACAAUUUCUCGUUAUGGAUCUGGUGGCUUUCACUUAGAAAACUGAACUCGUGAAGUAGAGGCAUAAUAAACAGUAUUUAAAAAAAGUUUUUUUUUAAUAUUGAAAAUCCGUAACAAAUUUACACUUUUGAAAGGGGAACCGUGGUCAAAGUUUUAUCCAUUUUUCUGAAAAUAUUUGAUAUCGAACAUCAAAUCUUUAAAAUACAAAUUUCAUAAUUUUUAUUUAAUUGACCAUUAAAACUUCAUAGAGUUAUGAACACGGCUUGACAAAACGUUGAUUAUAAUAGAAUUACUAAAUAUUGCCGUUCAUGCCGGGGCAAGAUCCACGUGUUAUCAUUUAUAUAAUGAGGAAGGAUUGGUUAUUAUUUUCACUCCCACCAACUGUGAUAUAAUUAAUUGUAAGGUUUUUUUUUUAUUUAAAAAAAAAAAAGCCAUGUGUAAUUGCUCCAAACCUUGCCUUAUAUAUAAAGCGAAAAUACCUGCACCCAAAAAUUUUUAGUUAUUUUACCAUCUAUUAUUGAGUAGCAUUUUAAUAUAGAGAAUUAAUUAGCUAAUGUUAAGUAAGAGGAUAAUUUAAAUUAUGUUUCAUUUUAAACCAAAAUUUUAAAUUAUAAUAUUCUAUUAACAAAAAAAGGGACCAAUAGCUUUGAUUGACUAAUGAAAACGUUUUUUUUUUUUUUUUUUUGUUUCAAUGGUAAACCGAAUCUUCAGACUAUGCAAUUCACAUGAUACUAGAUCGGACUAAAAUUUCUUAAAAUGACUGAAACUAGAUGUAAUUGGAAUUUAAUAAUAAUCUAUUGGUUCCAACGAGUACCUAAACAAGUUAGAAAAUUGAACAAAAACGUAUACUUGGAUUUUCAAAUAUUGCAUUAUCCUCGAGAAAACUGAUAAAAGGAAAUCUCAACCCUCCAAAAUUGACUUUAAAAAAAAAAAGAAAUAUAAUUUCUUGCCGGCUAUUGAAUUUGCAUGGCAGAAUUUAAUUAAUUCUAUCCAUUCAAAACGUUCUUUUUUAAUUUUUAUUUUUUAAGAACAAAACAGAUGGAGCAUUACAAUUAGCCGACCAAAAGCCCCCGUAAAACUUUUCAUAAAAGUUAUUUGAGAGUGGAGAACGGGGUCUGCUUAUUAAAGAAAUGAGUUAUUGAAUAAAUAUAUGGGCAUAUCUUUGUCUAUGAAGAGACACCAGUAAAGUAGAAAAAAGAAAGAAAAAAAAAGAUAUUAAAUCUCAUUCUUAGCAAUUAAUUCAUUGUUUUUUUUUUUAAAAAAAAAAAACUUUUCACUGUUGGUUGCCCAUUCAAUUAUUGAUCUUUAGCCCCGUGAAAUCGUCACUUUUUAUGCAAAGUCCAAAAAAAAAUUGAAUUAAAAUCUUUUCCUUUCACUUUACCCAAAAGAGACUAAAAAGGAAGGCAAUACUUGAAAAAUAAUCUUCCCUUUUUUUGACCUACUUAGUUUAAGAACCGAAUUAUCAUAUCAGUAUGUGUCGAUUACUCGAAUAUUCGGAACCUUGGCUAGAAUCUCAUUGUCCCUUACGUGUCCUGAAUGUAUUAUAUCUUACAUAGGACCCAAAAAUUUAAGGGAUAGGCAUGCUACGGGUCUAUCAAGGAACUUAAAAUUUGUGGCAUGAAGCAUAUGAAAAUUAAAUCUUAUUUACACUUGAGCCCCUACAACUUUGAGAGUGUGAUGUUCUACCCCUAUUUUUCUUUUCAACUCUAAUCCCUAAAACUUUACAAUUACUUGUCGUUUUGACCCACUGCUGGUUUCUAAUUCUCCCCUGAUUCUGAUUGUAUCCAUCUCCGUAGUACGCGGUAGUCAAAACUUAUGUUAUGAUCAACUUGAUCAUCAUCCGUUUGUUUGUACGUACGACAAAAUUUUAAUACUAAAUGACUCAAAUUUGUCCACAAAAAUCAAUCGUGGAUUUUGAAUUGCAUCACCUGCCAUUCUCUAAUUGGUCUGCGACCCUUUUGAACACCCCAGAUUGAAGAAAAAGUUUUAGUAGCGCAGCUGCACAACUAAAAGAACAGAAAGAAGAAGGAAAAUUAAAAAAAUAAAAAAAAAAAAACCUAAUUGCGACUGUGCCUCGCAACUACAUUAUAAUAGUUAUAAGUCAAACAGAACCAAACUAAAAUUUUCUCCUUUUUUUUAUAUGUUUCUAGAAAUGUCACAUGACAAUGCUCUUAUCAAGCCACAAGAAACUUGAGUCGUGGGAAUGAAGAGGAAGCAAUUUAUAGCUACGUGUUCAUAACAUGGCGAGCACUCGUGUCUAUGCAUUUAUUUAUGUGAAAUUUAGAGUAAUUAAAUGUCAAAAUUAAAUUUUAUUUUUUUUAAAGGCCCAAUCUAGAUGGUAAUUUGUCCUGGUUCAUCAUCUUCUUCUUUGUUGCUUGGCAUAUCUUAAUAAGUUUUAGUUAACAUUUAAAUAUAAAUAAGAUGUUCGUUUUCAAUUUUGCCAUAUACAAUCACUUUUAUAAUACCAACUAGCAACUCGAAUAUGACUAUUGUAGGUAAACAAAUAUAAUUUCUUGCCAAAAUAAAUAUUUUUAUAAAUUAGAAUAUGUAGCGUUAACUCAAAAGUAAAAAAAAGUCGUUUAUUUUUUUUUUUUAGAAUACAAAUAUUAUAUUUGUAGUGUUAAAUUAAAUAGUAAACGCAUUUAAAAAAAUAUGAAUAACGGAAAUUAAAUUAUAUGAAAAUAUCAUACGCUAAAACAAACAUCCAAAUAUAAAUUCUCCUCUUUUUUUUUUUUUUAAUUAAACGAAGGAUUAAAAAAAGAAGAAGAAGAAGAAAAUGAAUGAUGGUGAUGGAAAUUGUUGUUCACCUCAUUGAUGACAUCAUCUCGACGUAAAUGUUGUUUCAUUAUAAUAAUAGUUCUGUUCGUUGAACUUGGCAAUUUAUUUUUAUAUCUGUUGAUUUGUUACACCAAAGUCCGCCCCGAGCGCUAAGACAUGAACAUAUAAUUAAAUAUAUAUUUUUUUUAAAUGUAGAAUUAUUACAAUAGAGUAUCAAAUCCUAUGGGUUAGAUUUUGUAAUCAUUAAGAUUUAGGAAUUAUGACGAAAACCAGUUCAUGUUCUUUCUAAUUAUUAUCGAAGUUGAUGUAUGUCGAAUAUUUAGGGUAGGUCAGUCAAAAAAAUUGCGGGAAAAACAUAAUCCAAUAAUCCAUAAGCCCGGAACUUUAUUGAGGAAAAUAUAUAUAAAAAAAAAUGAAAAAUACUUGAAACUCGCAGGUGUUUAUUUAAUUUGCAUGGCGGGAAAUGCAGCCACAAUACUGAAAAACAUUCUGAGCAAUUCGUCACCAAAACCCACUCCUAGCAAAACCCUAACCAAAACUAUCUCAGGUCACCUCAAAUCGAACGGUCUCCGAAAAGCCAUAUCCGUUCUCUUUGCUUCCGGAGAGCCCGUCUCUUACUCGCUUUAUGCCCAUCUCUUUCAGCUUUGCGCUUCAAGUAAAGCCAUCGUUGAGGCUCGAAAACUCGAAUCCAACUUAGUUACUUUCUACCCCACACCGCCGGUAUUCCUCUUGAAUCGUGCCAUUGAGUGUUACGGCAAAUGCGGGAACUUGGAUGAUGCGAGGGGGCUGUUUGAUGAAAUGCCUGAGAGAGAUGGUGGGUCUUGGAAUGCGAUGCUUGGCGCCUACACGCAAAAUGGGUUUCCGGGGAGGACGUUGGAGUUGUUUUUGGAUAUGAAUCAUUCAGGGGUUUCUGCAAAUCAGAUUACCUAUGCUAAUGUUUUGCGGUCGUCUGCCGAGGAAUUGGAGCUUGGUGUUUCAAAGCAGCUUCAUGGAUUGAUUGUGAAACGUGGGUUUUGCGGGAAUGUGAUUUUGGAGAGUUCCCUUGUGGAUGCGUAUGGGAAGUGUAUGGUUAUGACUGAUUCGAGGAGAAUGUUUGAUGACAUUCAGAAUAAGAAUGCAGUUUCUUGGAAUGUUAUUGUGAGAAGGUAUCUUGUGGCGGGGAAUGGAAAGGAGGCUGUAGUUAUGUUUUUUAAGAUGUUGAGAGAAGAUAUUAGGCCGCUGAAUUUUACUUUUGCCAACGCGCUAUUUGCUUGUUCAUUUUUAUCUUCACCAUAUGAGGGGAUGCAGAUUCAUGGAGUUAUUAUUAAGAUUGAUUUUGAAGGGGAUGAUGUGGUUUUGGGGUCCCUCACUGAGAUGUAUGUUAAAUGUGGAAGACUAGAGGAUGCUCGGGGCCUUUUGGACCAACCUGAUGAGAGGAAUAUAAUUUCUUGGACUUCUAUCGUGUCGGGAUAUGCCAUUAGUGGGAGAAUUAGAGAGGCAAGAGAACUCUUCAAUGAGAUGCCUGAACGCAAUGUGAUAUCAUGGAAUGCAAUGUUAGCUGGGUAUACUCGUUCUCUUCUGUGGAAAGAGGCUUUGGAUUUUGUUUUUCUUAUGCGAAAGACAACUAAAGACAUUGAUCAGGUCACUCUUGGGUUGAUUCUAAAUGUUUGUGCUGGUCUUUCAGAGAUUAAAAUGGGGAAAGAAGUUCAUGGUUUUAUCCAUCGAAAUGAUUAUUCGUCCAAUAUCUUUGUCAGCAAUGCUCUCCUUGACAUGUACCGCAAAUGUGGUAACCUGAGAAGUGCCAGAAUUUGGUUUUACCAAAUGAGUCAACGGCGGGACAAGGUUUCUUGGAAUGCUGUGUUGACUGGCUAUGCUCGUCGUGGUCAGAGUGAAGAAGCUAUGACAUCUUUCUCAGAGAUGCAAUGGGAGACAAGACCUAGUAAAUUUACAUUUGAAACUCUUUUGGCAGCAUGUGCAAACAUUUCUUCUCUUGAGCAAGGCAAACAAAUUCAUUGUUUCGUGAUUAGAAAUUGUUACGAGAUAAAUGUUGUAUGCAGAGGAGCUUUAGUUGAGGUGUACACUAAAUGCUGUUGUCUUGAGUAUGCAAUACGGGUUUUCAAGGAGUCAUCUUCAUUGGAUGUGAUUAUUUGCAACUCUAUGAUUUUGGGAUUUUGUCAUAAUGAAAGGGGCAGAGAAGCACUUGAAGUGUUUGGUUUAAUGAAGAAGGAAGGAAUUAAGCCAGACCAUAUCACCUUUCAUGGAAUUCUGCUUGCUUGUGUACAUGAAGGUAAUGUUAAGUUGGCUCUACAGUUUUUUGAUUCAAUGAGGUGUAAAUACGGUAUCAUACCUCAGUUGGAACACUAUGAAUGCAUGAUCAAGCUCUACUGCCGUUAUGGAUACAUGAAGGAGCUUGAAGAUUUUGUGAACAGGAUGCCAUUCAAUCCCACUGUUCCAAUGUUAAGAAAAAUAUUUGACAAAUGUAGAAAAAAUGGGUAUGCGAUGUUAGGAGAAUGGGCUGCUAGACGACUUAAUGAAUUGAACCCUUGGGCUCCAUUCCAGUUUAAGAUAACAACAAACAGAAUUGACAGGUACUGAUAAUCAGGAUUGCACAUAGGAGAAUCUAUCUUCUGCACAUACCUAUGCUGUGAGGCUAGCAGCUGCAAUUGAUUUCUUCAGCCCCUGAGUAGCUGCCUACAGAAUGCAAGAAUCCAUGGUUCCAGGGGCACGUAACUGACAAUUAUGCAUGGCGAGAAUCCAUGGCCGCAAAAGGGUCUUUUCUCAAUCCAUAAUCGCAGGAUUCACUGCAUAAAGGGAGCUACGGCAUACACAGCUGUGAAGUGAGCUCAUCAAAUGGGAUAAGUUGGUUUAUACUUGGGGACUUUUUGUAGGAAAUUAAUUAUUAUUUUUUAACUGGCUGGCAAAUAAGCUUGUGAAAUUUCCCGAGCAGGCUACAGUAAUUUUAACGUAUAGGUGACCUUCAUGUGAGAAUCACGCCGCGCCAUAAUGUUAAUUGUCUAUGAACUUACGUACAAAGUGAAGCUGAAUAAUAAAUACUUCAUUUCAUCCAAAGGAAACUGUUUUUGUUUCGUAAUAAAUGAUUUUGUGUUUCUUUUAGAUUAGCCUCAUACUUGCAGCCAAUAAAUUACAAAAGCUUUAGUUUCUUCAGUUACAAUAUUAGGGCAUAUCUGUGCCUCUUACUUUAUUCUUAUGCCCUAACAAGGUAGGUGUUCAUUAAAAGCUCAAGUGGCUGUUACAAUUACAAAAGGACUCUUGGUACAAUACAAAUGAAUGAAUACUUUUUCCCUUGACCAUGGAUACUAGAAUAGACUAUUUAGCCCGUCUACUCCAAUCAUGCAACACCCACCACUCGAUUCACGUAGGAAAACAGCUCCACCUCCACUUCCUCAAAAAGGGUAUCCUUAAUUCCACCCUACCAAUAGCAAACCGCCUUCUGCUAAUGUACAUGAGAUGCGGUAACCCCACCGAUGCACUCCUUCUGUUCGACGAAAUGCCCCUUAGAAAUUGUUUCUCUUGGAACGCAAUGAUUGAGGGCUUCAUGAAGCUUGGGCACAAAGAAAAGUCUCUACAGUUGUUUAAUGUGAUGCCGCAAAAGAAUGAUUUUUCUUGGAACAUGCUUAUUUCAGGAUUUGCAAAAGCGGGUGAGUUGAAGACUACACGGACUUUAUUUAAUGAUAUGCCUAGGAGAAAUGCGAUUGCUUGGAAUUCAAUGAUUCAUUGUUAUGUGCGUAAUGGGUUUGCUAGAGAGGCUGUCAGGUUGUUUAAGGAAUUAAAUUCGGACCUGGUUGAAAGACUGCAAUGUGAUGCUUUUGUUUUGGCCACGGUUAUUGGAGCUUGUGCAGAUUUGGCAGCUCUGGAGUAUGGAAAGCAAAUCCAUUCACACAUUCUGGUUAAUGGACUAGACUUUGACUCAGUGUUGGGUAGUUCGCUUGUUAACUUGUAUGGAAAGUGUGGUGAUUUCAAUAGUGCAAAUCAGGUUUUAAAUAUGAUGAAGGAACCAGAUGAUUUCUGUUUGUCAGCAUUGAUUUCGGGUUAUGCUAAUUGUGGUAAAAUGAAUGAUGCCAGAAGGGUUUUUGAUAGGACAACUGACACAAGUUCUGUGAUGUGGAAUUCAAUGAUUUCUGGUUAUAUUUCAAAUAAUGAGGAUACGGAAGCCUUACUUCUCUUCCAUAAGAUGCGGAGAAAUGGAGUUCUUGAAGAUGCUUCAACAUUAGCCAGUGUUUUGAGUGCCUGUAGUUCUCUUGGUUUCCUUGAAUAUGGUAAACAAGUGCAUGGCCAUGCUUGUAAAGUUGGAGUAAUUGAUGAUGUCAUUGUUGCAAGUGCUCUGCUUGACACAUAUUCCAAAUGUGGAAUGCCAAGUGAUGCUUGCAAAUUAUUUAGCGAGCUCAAAGUCUAUGAUACAAUCUUGCUUAACACCAUGAUCACUGUAUAUUCAAGCUGCGGCAGGAUUGAAGAUGCAAAACAUAUCUUUAGGACCAUGCCAAAUAAAAGCUUGAUAUCAUGGAAUUCGAUGAUUGUGGGUCUUAGCCAAAAUGGCAGUCCAAUUGAAGCAUUAGAUCUUUUCUGCAAUAUGAAUAAACUGGACCUGAGGAUGGACAAAUUUAGCCUAGCCAGCGUGAUUAGUGCAUGUGCUAAUAUUUCUUCACUUGAACUUGGUGAACAGGUUUUUGCUAGAGUUACCAUCAUUGGUCUUGAUUCUGAUCAGAUAAUUUCCACCUCCCUUGUUGAUUUCUAUUGCAAGUGUGGUUUCAUUAAAAGUGGACGAAUAUUAUUUGAUGCAAUGAUUAAAUCUGACGAAAUAUCGUGGAAUUCAAUGUUGAUGGGUUAUGCUACAAAUGGUCAAGGAUAUGAUGCGCUGGCCUUGUUCAAUGAAAUGAGGAACACUGGUGUGAAACCCACUAUUAUUACAUUUACAGCAAUUUUGUCUGCCUGUGAUCAUUGUGGACUAGUCAAGGAGGGACAGAAAUGGUUUGAUGCCAUGAAAUGGCAAUAUCAUAUUGAUCCUGAGAUUGAGCACUAUUCUUGCAUGGUCGAUCUUUUUGCCCGGGCUGGUUGCCUUAAUGAGGCAGUCAAUCUAAUAGAGCAGAUGCCUUUUGAGGCAGAUGUAGGCAUGUGGUCGUCAAUCUUAAGGGGUUGUGUGGCUCAUGGAGAUAAGGGUCUAGGGAGGAAGGUAGCAGAGAGGAUGAUUGAGCUUGAUCCUGAGAACGCAUGUGCUUAUAUACAACUAUCAAGCAUAUUUGCCACCUCCGGAGAAUGGGAAAAGUCAUCUUUAAUUAGAGACAUAAUGAGAGAGAAACAUGUUGGGAAGCUGCCAGGUUGCAGCUGGGCGGAUGGGUGAACAACAAAACUUUUUGGUGGAAAUUGAUAUUAAGAGACUUUCAUCUUCCUGAGGAGAAACCUGUUAUGCCUGGAGGGUCUUGCCUAUAUUUUUGUUGGUUUGACCAAAGCUAAUUUGCCAGUAAGUUCAAAGAGAGUGUUUUGUUCUAGAAUAUUUAAAUUCUAAUUCUUUCUACUUUGUUGCAUAAGAUCUUUGUCUGGGCAAUGAAGAAAGUCACUCUUGUGAUCCAGCAUCUUUUAAAUACUAUUUUAUCUGAGAAUAGUGGCUUCAUUGUCUUAUAUUUAACUUCUUUCUGCAGUAUUGCUUUUAACUGUUGGUUUCUUGAUACUAUGUUUUUGCAGCUGGCUAAUUUUGAUGAAAUAAAACAGCAUCAGUCAGCAGACUUUUGUGAUUACAUUCAUGGUUUUGACCAAGCUCGAUUGCCUCUUAGUUCAAAGAGAUCUUUCGUUCUUGGUUACCUCUUGAGUACCCUGAGUUUGAAGGUUGUGUAUUCCAACUUGUGCUCAUCACUUGUAGUUCCCACACGCAAUGAGGUAUCCAUUUAGCCAUUUUCCUCUGCUUUGCAUUCCCUGCAGCCUGGUGGACAAACUGAUAUGCCCUUUUCUUAUAUGUGAUUGUAACCUCAUUCUAUGUUUGUGCUUAUUAUUAUUAUUAUUUUGAUGUUGUUUCUGAAGCUUGCUUAUUUGUUGAUCAGGAUGGUUUAUGGGAACAUAUUGACCAUCGCGCUUCUAUUGCUUGCAAAUAAUGGAGGUCUGUGAUCUUGUUUAUAGCCUUUCGCAUACAUUUAACUGAAGAUAUGCAAUGGCUUAGGAUGGGAGCGUGUCUGAUGAGUGAUGAGACGACCACUGUGUCUAUGAUUCAAUCAGGACGUAUUAAAAUAGCAAUAUUUAUAACUUGCCAUAGAUAAUGGUGUUGGAGUUGUAAUUUGGAAUCAUAAGGGUACAUUUCCCUCCCGUCUUAGGUUUAAUUAUUUGUUGAGUUGUCGUUUUAAAGUGUUUUUAAAGAACUAUUUUUUUAGAAUAAAAACAUAGGUUGGAUCAAACUAUUUUUUUUUAAAGGGAAUAUGCUGUAACUUUUGAAUGAAGAUUGAAGAAGAAUAGAAGUGAUUUGGUUUGUUUGGUGUACUUUACGAAGAUUGAAGAAUCAGAAAUUUGGUUUCCGAAUCCAAAUCCAUUGCUUUAGCCUAAGAGUGGAGCUCCGAACGCUCUAUGAAAAGUGAAAACUUAUGAAAUCCUAUUUGUUACAUUUACAGCUCUUCCUUUCAUUAAAAUUAUAGAAAACGAUAAAAGAUACCAUGGAGUUUUGAUUAAAUUCAAAUACCAUCUAGAGUAAAUUAAUUAAAUUUUAAAUAUGCUUUUUCAUAAUAAGAAUCAAUCAUUCGACAAAACAAUUUGAAGAUAAUAGGCUUCAUAUUUGGAUGUAAAAAAAUUAAUUUCGAGUUUAUAAAAAAUUAAUUAUAUUAUAUAUUAAAAUUUAAAGAUAAUAAGCUUCAUAUUUGGAUGUAAAAAAAUUAAUUUCGAGUUUAUAAAAAAUUAAUUAUAUUAUAUAUUAAAAUUUAAAGAUAAUAAGCUUCAUAUUUGGAUGUAAAAGUAUUUUAAUUUAAUUAAAUUCAAUUUGUUCUUUUAUAUAAUUUCAACUAGUAUUACUCUUGCUUUAAUUUCUUGCACUUUUAGACUGAAUUUGUGGGACCAUUUGGGCUUGGCCCAAUCACACAUCGCUCCCAUAAAACAAAAACCAUCAGUUUCUUGCAGGGACCAUUCAAAAUGCCGCGGCAUAAAAUCACUUUACGACUGCUCCAAAUCGAAUGUUAGGCGCUUGCAGAGCUCAGGCAAGAAGAACAAGUAGAAGAAUCAGUUGUAAAGCCUUGAUUCGUAAUUCUGAGAGCACAAUGCUUAUUAGUGGCACUUCACUUUUAUGUCCUCGUAUCUGAAGAAAGCUCAUGUUAACAAGGCCUCUCUGUCUUAUUGCUCACAACUAAUAGACCGUUGUUUGUCCUUUAAAUCCUUUGAUUUUGCCAAAACCAUCCAUGGCCACUUGUUUAAACUCGGUUUCAAUGCCCAUACUUAUCUGGGUAAUCGUUGUCUUGACUUAUACUCUCGGUUUGGGACUUCGGAUGAUGUUUUGCAAUUGUUUGAUGAAAUUCCUCAAAAGAAUUGCAUAUCAUGGAAUAUUUGCCUGAGGGGGUUGCUCAAAUCCGACAACCUCGAUACCGCACGUAAGGUGUUUGAUGAAGUUCCCGAGCCAGAUGUCGUCAGUUGGAAUUCAAUGAUUUCGGGAUACGCUUCUUGUGGGUAUUCUGAUUAUGCUUUGGAGAUGUUUUCUAAAAUGCAACUUCAGGGUGUAAGGCCAAGUGGGUUCACUUUUACAAUUUUGUUAUCGACUGUGUCUAGUUCUUGUCAUGGUAAGCAAAUACACGGUAGCAUGAUUCGGAGUGGCUUGAGUUUGUCAAAUGUGGUGCUUGGGAAUUCCUUAAUUGACAUGUAUGGGAAGCUCGGUGUUCUUUACUAUGCUUUUGGUGUGUUUUUGAAUAUGGAGGAGCUGGAUAUUAUCUCUUGGAAUUCAUUAAUUUCAGGGUGUUUUAAUUCGGGCUAUGGAGAGUUGGCAUUGGAUCAGUUUUAUUCAAUGAGGUACUCAGGGUAUUCACCUGAUGAGUAUACAAUUUCAAUAGUAAUAAAUGCCUGUACUAAGUUGCGAAAUUUGGAUAAGGGUAAGCAAGUUUUCGCUCUCUCUGUCAAAGUGGGAUUUCUUUCUAAUUCCAUUGUUUUGAGUGCCACUAUUGACCUGUUUUCCAAAUGCAACAGAUUGGAGGAUUCUGUCCGUCUAUUUGAACAACUAGAUCGAUGGGAUUCUGCUGUUAUCAAUGUUGUGAUUUCAACCUAUGGAAGGUAUGGCUUUGGAGAGGUUGCUUUAGAAUUGUUUCAGCUUAUGUUGAGGGAGGAUAUAAGGCCUACUGAGUUCACACUUAGCUGUGUUCUAAGCUCUAUUCCAAUUCCUCCGGUGGAGCAUGGAAGUCAAUUCCAUUCCAUGGCAAUCAAAUCUGGUUUUGAUUCCAAUGCAGUUGUUGCCAGCUCACUCAUGGAAAUGUAUGCUAAAACUGGUUCAAUUGAUUCUUCUACGGAAAUAUUUGUUAAAUUGGAUAAAAGAGAUUUAGUAUCUUGGAACACCAUAAUGAUGGGUUUAACCCAGAAUGGUAGAGCAGCUGAGACGCUGGAUGUUUUCGAAGAACUACUUGAGGAAGGUCUGCCUCCUGAUCGAAUAACACUAGCUGCGGUUUUAUUAGCUUGUAACUAUGGCGGUUUUGUUGAUAAGGGAAUGCUCGUUUUUUCAGCAAUGAAAGAGGAAUAUGGAGUUAUGCCCGGUGAAGAGCAUUAUGCUUGCAUUAUUGAUUUGUUGUGUCAGGCUGGUCAGCUCGGAAAAGCAAUAGAUAUUACAAGCACAAUGCCCUUUCAACCCGGUUGUUCAAUUUGGGAAUCAAUACUCCGUGCUUCUGCAAUUUAUGGAGAUGUGAAGCUCACUGAAAACGUAGCAGAGAGGAUGAUGGAUUUACAAUUGCCAUCGCCUCUACCAUAUUCACUGUUGACUCAGGCAUAUGCAAUGAGGGGGAGAUGGGAGGCCAUAGUGAGAGUGAAGAAGGUCAUGCGAAAGAAUGGAAUAAGUAAGGUGACUGGAUGCAGUUGGAUUGGGAUAAAGAACCGUAUAUAUACUUUUAAUGCAGGCGAAUUACAGCAUCAUCGAGGCCAAAAAAUUUAUUUGGUAUUGAGAUUACUGACUUGGGAAAUGGAGGAUGAGGGUUGUGUAUAUUUAGAGUGUGAUAAAUUGGAUGUCGAGGGGAGGUAAGAACACAGUUCAACUGCAAUAUAAGAGAUUCUUCCGGUCUUGAUCAAGUACUUGCAGUUUGAUGCCAUAGAUCAAUUCUAACAGAUUGGUAUGUGAAAAUAUAGCAGUGUGUACUGAGUAGUUCAUUGAUACUGAAGUUUGGCAGUUGAUUUUCAGAAGCAAUGCCAAGUUCAUUCCAUUCCAUUCUGUCAUAGAGCUGGAUUCAUUGUGUUAGACAUACAAGAGGGCAUAAUUCUUAAAUUAAUUGUGCUCAUCUUAUCUGAUAUAAAACGAUUCUAACAACAUAUGUUGUUUAUUCUAUGCGAUUAGCCUGUAAUUAUAAAGAAAUUGUGAAAGAUCAAUUAGGAUUUUGAUGUUGUCUGGGAUGUUGUAAAGACCAAUAUUCUUCGGUAUACCUAUAUGGUUAGUCUCUAUUGUGAAUGUCUGCUUCGCAUAAAAUGUAGACGUGCAUGUUGUCAAAUAAGAACAUUUGAGUUUCCAGGAUAUAUUCUUUCAUAUAAUUAAUUUGUUUUUUUUUUCUUUUUCUACUAAAAUCUUAUAUAAAUUUUCAAUACCCUCCUAUUUCAUCCCACACAUCGAAACAUAAAAAAAAAAAACAAAUGCUAAAUAGUGAAUGAAUAAUGCUAAAGAGAGAGAAAGAUAAGAGAAUUUUACUCUCUUCCUACCCAAUCCGCUUGCUCUUUUUCUUUUCAACAGAUUUUCUCUCAUUUUUCUCUCAUCUUUCUCUCUUUUUGUCAUUUUUUUUAUAAUUUAUAAAAUUGAAAAAUUAAAGGAGCGAUAUCUUACCUACCCAAGUUCAAUAUUUAAGAGCGAUAUUGAUUUAUGACCUAACGGCAUGAAACUGGAAACCAGAGGCAUUUAUUAUGAAUUCAAUUCACCUAUAUUACUAACUCUCAUCUCAAGAGCAGAAUGGUAUGAAUAGUUGAGAAUGCAAUUAUCUGACGGUCUGAGGAUGGUGAAAUGAAUAUGGUGUCAUAAAUUAUAAACCAUUUUUGUAUUAUCUGUAGAUAUAAUAACAUAGUUAGUGUUUGCCAUUCAAAGAAAAACUCAAUGGAGAAAAAAAAAAGUUAUUUUUGUGUAUAGCGAGCUUCAAAACUCAAACAUGUGGUAUCAUGCUAAAAACGUUUAUUAAUUAAAGGGUUAAUUUGAAAAUAGUCGUCGUUAAUUGACUAUCUUUAAAUAUAUAUUUUUUUUAAAUUUCAAUUUAUUCCUUAUUUUUAUUAAGAAAAAGAAAAAAAUCAGUUAUUGAAAUAUUUCAGCUUUAAGGGUAUUUGUUAAAACAUUUCAGAUUUUGCUUACUCUUUGAUGUGGAGUUGAGAUGAUGUUAGGGUUGGCUCUCUAUCAUGAUAGUCCAAUAUUUUUAUAGUUAUUUUCUCAACAACAUUGCAUGAAUUAUUGGUGUUAGGAAAUUUGGUGGGUGAAGCAAAUACGGUUAAAGUGAAAUUGGAAUAUAAUGAUCACACAAAGACAUUAAAAUUUACGUGAUUUGAUUUUUAACCUAUGUCCAUUGACAAAGACAGAAAAAAAUAUUUUACUAGUGAAAACGAGUUACAAGUAUUGUAGUGUUUUAUCUCACAACCCAAAACUCCAAGUACACCCAAACUCUCAAAAAUACUAAAAUUAGAGUUCAAAACUCUCAACACUCUCAACUUAUACAUCUUGACACUCUCACUUGAAUUGGAGAAAAUGAGAUGAUUGAAGAGGGCAAAUGAAGCCUUUAUUUAUCGGCCCAGGAAUGCCCAAAAAAUCAAUAAAGGCGGGCACUAAAAUAACAUAAAAUUUCACUCAACUUUCUACUUUAGUGUCAAAGUUAAAAGUUGCGUGCUUUCCACUUAUUCAUGUUUCUUAUUUACUUAACAAAUUUACGUCAAGAGUCAAAAGUUGUAUGCUAGCCACAUGCAAUUGUUUGCCAUAUGCAUGCACAUAUUCAAUAAUUAGUACAUAUGUUUAUAUCUUAAUAAUUCAAGAUCUCGAUAUUAACUGUUAAUUUUUUUACUAAAUAAUAAUAUAUUGAAAAAGGAAAUGUUAUUUUGACAAAAAGUAGAAAAAAACAAAAAUAUCUCGACAAAAGGUAAGUUGAUUAAUAACUAUUCUGAUAGUUUAAUUUUUUAAUGCCUUCAUCAAAAUUUCACAACUCAAAAAAAAAAAUUUUGGUCCACGUAGCAAUGUUGUCGAAAAAGGGGAAAAAAAUCUCCUUUUUUUUUGCAUGAUUUUUUUUAACUUAUUAGUUAUCACUCGGUACGAAGAACGUGUUUAUUUAUUUAUUUAUUUUUCCUUGUGAUGUACAUAUUAGAUAAUUCUUAACGAUUUUAUUUCAAUCUAUGCCUUUUGUUUCCACCAGCCAGCCCCACCAACCAAAGGAAGGAAAAAAAAGAAAAGCAAGGCUUAGGCCUGACUAACAACAAGUGAAGGAAUUUUUUAAAAUAUUUUUAAUUUUACCAACGAGAAAGAGCCCUUUCAAAUUGCAUUCUUUAAAAGAAAAAGAAAAAAGAAAAAAGAAAAAAUGGAGAAGCCCGAAUUCCCAUCUUUGAUUCUAACGGUUAGUUUUAUUACUUGUAACCAUAGAAAAUUGUUUGCUUGACCUUGUAAUUAACAAUUAACAGUGGAUCAGGCUACGGUAUAAUUGUGGUAUCGCACUACAGUUGCAUCCAGUCGUUGAAAAUACUUAAAUUGGUGGGGUUUAUUGACAUUCAACGACUGGAUGCAACUGUAGCACGGUACUACAGUUAUACCACAGAUUUUUCCUUAACAGUGAUGAGCCACGUGGCCGAGGAUGCUGACCAUCAGCCUUGAUAUAUUCGUAUCAAUAAAUAUUAAGAAAUUGUCAUUUUUGGCUGGAUUAGCUGAUCCCAUCCCAUCCAGUUCCCCUACAAAUUACAAAAUAAAUGUUUCCAUCUGGACCCUGCGACGCAUUAUUAACUCCACAUUGACCCAACUGAGCAACUGGGCGACACAUCAUGUUUUCCGAGACAGAAUCAUAAAAAACACAGUUUCCAUAAAUUCAUCGGGGGCUGUUGUUUAAAAUCAACAUCUCAAAACUGUAAUUGUGAGUGACCCUAUGGAUUGAGGAAAUUCUAGAAUAAUAUAGCUAUCUAUAUAAAUAAAUAUAUAUAUAUAUAUAUAUAUAUAAUUUUUAAAAAUAAAUAUAUAUACAUAUCAUAAUAAUAUUAUUUAUUUUUUAUAUUACUGAUAUAAUACCUCCAUUAUAUUUUAAAUUUUUUUUCUAAGCCCUGUGUGCGACAUGAGAUUAGUUUUAGUGCCGAGUCACAUCCAGCGAAGCUUUUAGUGCAUUAUUUCAAUAUCUCUUCAAAUUCCCAAGCUUAUAUAGACAAAGCCGUGCAAGGUACUGAUUCCAUCAAAAGCCUCGCUGGCUUCAAAUCCCACCAUCAUUUUCUUCCUUCUUUCUUACCUUCGUAUCUUUGCCGUUGUUCAAUAUCGAAAAAAUUAAAUGGCGAUUUGGUUAACAAAAUCAAGAGCCAUGGCCCAAUGCUUACGGCAAAGAGUUGGUUUGCUGAGGAUAUUAAGUGGCCAGAGUUGUUCAUCCCCAUCAACCAUAUUCCCACUUCAGCAAUAUAAUUCACCAUCACUUCCAAGCAAAACCCUUUUCUCGCCGGGGCGUUCCGAGUCCACCGUUGCUGCCAAUCAGCUGGAUUCUUUGUCUUCCAGUGACAGCGAUGAUGAUCAUCAGGUAACAUAGUUAUAUUUAAUUUAGCUCUGUGUCAUUACCACAUCUCUAUACACGCUUGUUAGUUGUUAUUUUCUGAUUCUCUGAUUACCGAAAGAUUGCUUUGUGCAAAUCUGUUAAACUGCAAUUAGUGAUAACAAGGCUGGUAGCAGCCUAUAUAUAUGUCUUUAAGUUCUAACGGUUGCAUUUCUUUUCUCUCUCCUUUUCUUUAGCUUCUUUCCUAUUUGAUUCUGAAAAAAUAAGUAUGCACCAGAAAACACGACUUCCAACUCUUUUUAUAAAUCUUGUGUGAACUCAGAAAUCAGGUUUUUUUUUUUCCUUAUUUUUUUUUUAAUGAUUCUUUGUUGCUAUUGAAAAAAUUAAGGAGUGAUAAAAGCUACUUUUUAAGUGGGUUGAUGGAACCGCAGAUGUAUACCAAUGCACUAAAGUUAAUGAUUCUUUUUUUUUUUUUUUAUGUCUUCCACUCAGAAAAUGUUUUGGUAUACGUAGCCUUAUUUGUAGUAAUUUUUUUUUUUUUAACUAUUGUCAAUCAUGGACUAAAAGAAGAGUAUUUCAAUUCUAAAUAUACUUUUAAUCAACUAAUCAAAACCACCGUAGAACUCUCAUGUGCUCCAUCCGUAGAACUCGCUUCGUUAUCACAUGUUAUGAGAUCAUGAAUUUGAAAUCUUAUAAAUAUAAAGAACCGUUGCCAACUUUAUAUUUUUUUUUAUCAUAUCCGUACCGUAUGUUAGACUUGAAGCAGGAUGAGAUCGAUUCGAUGAUAAUCUUUAAUUAAGUCCACUUUCUCUCUCAUAAUCUUUAGUGUUUGAUUCGUGCAUUGACGGUUCCUCUAUAAAGAUACAAAUAAAUAGAAUCUGCCAUGUGUGUACGUGAAUUUUCUAAAAUAAAACUCCAAAGAUGAUAAAUCUUCCAGCACUGAUGGGAUUCGGCCUCCUCCUCACAUCCUUAUCCUCCGUCGGCUUGGAUCCUGCCGGUGCCAAUAAUUAUAAGCGUUUUGGUAACAUAAAGGAAACACAUGAAAACAAAAAUCAAUAAUUAUAAUUAUUAUCUCGCUUGAAGGCCAACGGAUAAAUUUUAAACCACAUAUUGUUUGCCUUGGAUUGCCCGUCGGGCAGACUGAUUUUGACCAAUGUGAUCACUUCAAUUUUAUCUUGUUGUGCUUGCCCCAUCGUGAAAGGAAUUUAGAACUUGUUUAGUUCCUGUCUGAUGUAGUUAUAAUCAAUGUUAUGUUCUUACUCUUGAGUUUUAAUUUCUUGGAUCAAAAUUUUCAUUAUUGACCCCAAAUUUCGUGUACGUGGCCUCUAACAAAUUGGGCUAUGUUAAAAUUAGUAUAUUACAUUAGUGUGCAAGAUAUGGUUAUCUAAACCUUGGGAUGCAAAUAUGUACGCUAAAAUGGGAUUUGAGAUUACUAUAGAGCUUAAUUAUUGGUACAAAAUUCCCCCACCUGCUGGCCAAAUUGCUCUGCUCCCACGCAACGCAUUGUUUUAAAUGAAAACAAAAUUUUAAUUUAAAAUCAUACAAAAUUGGUAGGGACGGGGCUGAUCAAAAGAAGACGGUACGGGGUAUCUAGCGCAACCAACUAAUAAUGUAGGCGGCCGCUUCCUUUUACUUUCAUAUGCGUAGGCCCAACGUCGUUGGGAUUUAACUUCAUUUUUCUCCUUUUUUUCCCCCCAAAAAAAAAGCUGAUAUUUAAUAAAUAUUUUUUAAAAACGUGCCCAUAGUCAAACUUUAAAAACAUUAACAAAAAUUAUAAUAUUUUUAUUAUUUAAAAAGAAAAAAAAAAGCACCACGUUUCAAUUGUCAUGUAUUUCUAUUGCGUAAAUAACACUUAAAGUAUAUUAAUUUGGAUUUUGAAUAUUGAGCCGAAAAGGGGCAUUGCAAUUUUUAACAUUUCGAUUCUCUCGUUGUGGCAGGUCUUGGAUUUUCCCGGAGGCAAAGUUGGAUAUACUUCUGAAAUGAGGUUCAUUCCUGAGUCUUCAGAGAAAAGAGUGCCUUGUUUUCGAGUUCUUGAUGACAAUGGAGAGCUAAUCAAGGGCAGUGAUUUUCAACAGGUACACAUAUAUAAUAUAACUUCCUUUAUUAAUGAUCAUAUUUUUCAAUACCCGAUUCUCAAGAUUCAUCAAAGUUCAAGAGCUUGCGAUUUUGGCUUGGUGGUUUCAUUAGGUGAGCAAGGAAGUUGCUGUAAAGAUGUAUAGCCAUAUGGUCACACUGCAGGUAAUGGACUCUGUAUUGUACGAAGCACAAAGGCAAGGGAGAUUUUCUUUCUACCUUACAACAAUUGGUGAAGAAGCAAUCAACAUAGGAUCAGCAGCUGCACUCAGCGCCGAUGAUUUUAUCUUGCCUCAGGUAACCAUAGGCUGUAUACAUAUAUAUACAUAGAUCAGCUCAAUAAUUUCUUGCAUUUGAAGCUAACGCAACUUCAUGUAUCCAAUGCCAAUGUGCUCAUGCCAGUACCGAGAGCCUGGAGUACUCUUAUGGCGUGGCUACACAUUGCAACAAUUUGCAAACCAGGUGUUUGCAAACAAGGCUGAUGAUGGGAAAGGCAGACAGAUGCCAAUUCAUUAUGGGUCUAAAAAGCUUAACUACAUCACCAUAUCGUCACCUAUCGCGUAAGCUAUCUUGAUCAUGUCUAGAACAUUUCUUCAAAUUAUCACGUACACUGUCAUCUCUGAUUAUUUUCAUUGCAAUCUAUGAUUGUAAUUCAGUACACAACUUCCUCAAGCUGUUGGUGUGGCUUAUUCUCUUAAAAUGGAGAAAAAGGAUGCCUGUGCAGUUGCUUAUACUGGAGAUGGCGGCACCAGUGAGGUGAUUACUAGCAGCAUAAUUCCUCUUCCUAUAUCCUUUCCUUGGGAUUUAAAUUGUCUUUUUGCUCAUUUUUCUAGUUGUGUUGAUUCAGGGAGAUUUUCAUGCCGCAUUGAACUUUGCAGCAGUUAUGGAAGCCCCUGUCGUCUUCAUCUGUCGCAACAAUGGCUGGGCCAUUAGUACCAAUAUAUCAGAACAAUUUCGAAGUACUGCUAUCACUUCUUUUUUUUAAAAAAAAAAAAAAAUUCUCAUUAAUAAAAAUUUUGGGAUCACACUACAUACUUUUUGCAGGCGAUGGUAUUGUUGUUAAGGGUCGUGCAUAUGGUAUCCGAAGCAUACGAGUAGAUGGAAAUGAUGCACUUGCUGUUUAUACCGCAGUUCAGGCAGCUCGUGAAAUGGCUAUCAGUGAAAAGAGACCUGUGUUAGUAGAGGUAAGAUUGAAUUUCCUCUGGUGAAAAGUUUGUAGGCAAUUUAGCCAUAACUUUUCUGAAAAUUUGGAACUUUGUUCCAAUUUUCAGGCCCUUACAUAUCGAGUAGGACAUCACUCAACCUCGGAUGAUUCCACCAAAUACCGAACACUUGAUGAAAUCGAGUACUGGAAAACAGAACGAAGUCCUGUCAAUAGAUUUAGGAAUUGGGUGGAAAGGCAAGGCUGGUGGAGUGAGCAAGAAGAAACCGAGCUUCGAAGUAGCAUCAAGAAACAGGUGAUCUAAACUAGUGCAGAUAUCUGUAUACUUGCUAGCAGUCCCCUUGACAUUGCCAAUCAUUUUCACAGUACUUGCGUAUUCAGACUAAAGUAAUUUAAUUUCUUGCAGUUGUUGCAAGCAAUUCAAGUUGCAGAGAAAACAGAAAAGCCGGCGAUUACAGAACUGUUCUCCGAUGUAUAUGAUGUUCCCCCAUCAAACCUUGCUGAGCAAGAGAAACAGCUGAAAGAAAUUAUCCAAAAAUAUCCACAAGACUAUCCCACUGAUGUUCCUGUAUAGAUUUCACGUGGCUACUUCAAUAAAAUGUGUAGAAUAAAGGGGGGAAAAGGAAAGAUAAAAAAUAAAACUCCUGAAAACUCCAUAUAAAUGAAAAAUGUAGCGUCAAUAAGUUUCUACAUGCCAUGUACAUUUUGAUAGUAAUAAAGCAAUCUAUACGUAAUUAUAGUAUCACUAUCGUCUUAUAUUUAUAUGCUGGCCUUGCUUAAGUUCAAUUAAGCACAUUGAAAUGUGGUAAACAAUUUUAACAAUUCAUAAAAUUCACAUUAAUCACAUGUGAACUGGUCGAGCUGGUCUAAGGUCCUGGAUUGGCCGUCCCUAUAGACCAGUUAACUUGGACCGCAAAUUUUCGCGGGAUUCAAGCAUCAACAAGGUUUAUAUAACUCAAAUUAAUGAUACACUGAGACGUGGUCUCCAAUAUCAUGUAAAAGAAAGUAAAGUUAGGAGCUGCCCAAGCAGAGGUAUAAAACAAAGAGAAGAAGGUAGUCUCUGUCAUGCAAGAGCCUCGUAAUCUACUAAUUGUCUGCAUUUGGUUUGGACGGCGCCAUUUUCAGGCAUAAAUUCACACGAUGUUGGAAUAUCCAAAAGUAUAUGUUUCUUCAUAUGCUCGAAUCUUCUUUGCUCCCUACGUACAAACAGAAACCAAUUCUUGUAAAGAAAAGAAAAUGUUAACAAACAAACAAAUAAAAGGCAUCCAUUACUCUGUCAAAUGAAAAGACGAUGGGGUAAUGAAUACCCCGUUUAUAUUUGCACUAUUUAAAACCCGUAUCCAUUACUAAAAUCUUCAAAGAAAAAAGACCUUAGAGCAGUUUCUUGAACUAAUCAUAAACUAGCUACUUGGCUGCUAUUUUAAUUAUUAAUGGAGACUCCUCCUUCGCCGUCUCAUGUUGUGAUUGCCUAUGAUGCAACUAAGGAACGUACUGAACAUGAACUUAAUCUCACCAUUAAUAGGGUGAGACUGCGGGGUGACAUUCUUCGUACCGGUGAUACGCUUGUUGUGUUUGGCGUUUUGCAUAGAGUGACUCACCCCAGUGAGUGUUUUUUUAUGGAUUGCUUUGCCCCGUGUAUGCAAACUGUUUAUGUUUGUAACGGUUGUGUGCUUAUCCGGGCCUUUAUGAUUCAAUAUCUUUACUGACUACUGGGUUUUUUUUAUUAAAGAUAGAUUUUUCAAUUAUCUUCUUUUGUUGAGAUUUAUCACAUUAUUCCUUUGAUGUGUGCCUAGCGAUUGGAUCUGUUCUGUUAUGUAGUUGCUGAUAUACAUUUUUAUGCAAUUGAAUGUUGUAUACUGGCAAGCAUUUAUUGGUCAUGGUGCUGGGAUCAAAAUAUCUAGAGCAGAAUGCUACUGUUGAUUACCAAAUUGAAUGGAUAUCUGUGUGUAUAUAUUGAUAUUUAUUCAUGCAUGACAUUAAGCAGAAAAUAAACAAACAUAAGAUAAAAUCAGAAAAUCAAUUAAAAUUCUGUGGAGCUAUGGCUAAGAUGUCUAUAGAAUGGUAGAACAAGCUAAGUAUUUUCUUAUUUAUUAAUUAUUGUGUUGUUUUGGAUUGGUGUAGUGGGUUACCAAGCAAAAGCAUGUCCUGAUGCUUUUGGGGCAAGCAUUCGUGCCAUGGAGGAAGAGGUUUUGAAGAAAGUCGAUUCAUUUUCAAGUAUGCUCCUACAAACUGCUGAGGAGUGCGAAGAUGAAGGGGUACAACAUUAACUACUAAACAGCAUCGUAUAGUAUUCAAUGGGAUGCCGAUUUAAGAGGACAUACCACACAUUUUCCACUGCUAGAAAAAAUAUUACUAAAAAUUAAUGGACAAUUACACCCAAAAACUCUCAGGUUGGGAACACACUAAUUUCUGUCAGGAUAAUACCAAGAAAACAUCGAAAUAUGACAUAUCAUCAUCAGUGAUGCAUCAAAUUUAUUAGCGAUAUGUUGCACUAGCAUCAUGACCAUUUACUUACCUUCUUCGAAAUGUACUAAUCUAUUAAGUCACAGGGGUACUGAAGGGGUUCUAUACUAUAAAGGGGCCGCCAUUUUCAGGAAAUAUAGGGGAAAAUAUUUCUUGCUUCUUGUCUGCUUCUCCAACAACACUGUAUGUUUCCAUAACAGCGUUUGAUGGCCUAAUAAAUGAUCUGCUAAAAAUGCAAAGAUCAGAAACAUAUAAUACAACUCAAGAUUAAACAACAUAAAACAAAAUUAUUCCUUUCCUGCUCUAUGAUUUCAGCAAAUAUUCACCAUGAUGCAAUGAGAUUUUCAUGUAAGUAAUCACAUGCAACUUUGUUAUUUGACUGAAUUCAUACUAGGGAAACAGAGAGUUUUUAUCUCUUACCACUAGCAAUUUUGCUCGUAAUUCUAAUUGACUUUUAUGUUUAGGUCAGCCUCGAAGUCAAGGUUACUGCUGGAACUCCUAUUAGGAAGGUCAUUUUGCAGGAGGCUGUUGCCUGUAAAGCAACUUGGAUUAUACUUGAUAGGUAAUCUUUCUGUUUUACAAACAUGGACUAGUCUCCAGCUCUAAUUAUUCUGGACAGUGGAAUUUCCGUGUUCUGACUCAGGAUCACCAUGACUCUGACUGACAUCAUUCUUUCAUAUCCCAAUAUUUUUCCACUCUAUUGAUGAUUUGUGAGGGCGGUUGGUUGUUUUACUCAUACAACAUGCUAUAACUGCCUACCGCCAGCUAGUGUAGAAUAUUGGAAGAUUUGUGAUUUUGCUUUCUUUUUUGGGCUAAUAUGUAGCAGCUAAAUUAAUUUCAUGAAUUAUCACAGGAUCAUUCUAGCAUGCGAAUGAAGCCUGAACAAUCUGCUUGCCACUUUUAUUUUUAUAUUUUCUUCCUAGAUAUCCUUGUUAGUCACUAAAUGCUGUGUGGUAGUGUCUACAGACAAAUGUUUAUGAUUCCUUUGUGCAAUCUUUGUUUCCCUUUUGUCGUUGUAUUUGCUUCAUUAGUAACUGGCAACUCCUAACAGGCACCUCAGACGGGAUCUUCAGUUUUAUCUGACACGAAUACCUUCAAAGGUUGCAUUUAUUCAAGAUAGCCUUGCUGUGCAAGUUUUGAGAACUCACGCAAUAAGUGAAACGGUUAUUACAGAGAAUAAGUUGUUUUACUCCCCGGCCAAGCCAGUUUCCCAAUCGACUUCUGAAGAUAGUGAACACAAUGAACAGUCUGUUAUCACUUGCAGAAGCUACUCUCUUAUCAGUUCCCAGGAAAUCACUGAUACCUCUAGGACUUCAUCUGCUUACAGAUCAGGGGAGCAUAGUUUUUCAUGGGAUUUUGGGUCUUCUUCUAAGAAUGAAAAGUCAGGUCAGCAAGCCUUCCCUAGUUAGCCACAUAGAUAUCUUAUAUGACAUGAUAAAAUACUGUCUCCAUUUGUUUUCUACUAAAUCCUUACAAUUGAAUCCAAGGCGAAUGACAUGUUGUUAUGACAAAGAACAAAAGUGAACAGGGUUUUAUCAUUAUAACUUAAUACAACUUUUGAGGAAACAAGAAAGGCAACUCUAGAACCCAGAAAAGAACUAAGAGACAAAAACAAAUUAUUGAUUCUGAAAUCUGAAUUAUUAUUAAAAUAUAUAUUUCUGUAAGUCAAUUAUUUCUGCGUAAGGCACAAGAGGGGGAAAAAAUGAACUACCUAGAGAGUAGAGACAGUCUUAAGAAACGAAAAUACCCAGUUGAAAUAAAAUCACGUAGUAAUCUCUAAUCAAAGGAAUUCUAAAGUUAAUAUUAGAUAAGAAAAUAAAAACCUUUAUCUCAUUAUCAUUGAAGGCAGAUUUUCGUAUUCCAGGUCUGUACGCUCGAGGAGAAAAUAAACAUUUUGCUUCUCCUCAGCUUGUCCAAAAGCAACGAAAAAAUGUCUUCCGGCAGAAAUCCUCAGUAGCGCCUAUUCUUUGUGUUGCAUGUGGGAUGAAGACUGAAUUAUAUAUGAAGGACCCUAUGAAAUUCAGUUUUUCUGAAAUUCAACAAGCAACAGGUGAUUUCUCAAAGGAGAAUUUGCUGGGAGAGGGUGGAUUUGGUCAUGUUUAUAAAGGUGAGCUUAAAGAUGGACAGAUGAUUGCGGCAAAGGUAAGGAAAGAAGCAAGUACACAAGGAUUUGCAGAGUUUCAGUCCGAGGUAUAUGUCCUAAAUUUUGCACGCCACAAGAACAUUGUGAUGCUUUUGGGUUUUUGUUGCAAGGAGAACCUUAACAUUUUGGUCUACGAGUAUAUCUGCAACAAGUCUCUUCAUUGGCAUUUAUUUGGUGAGCAAUUUUUGGUCUAAAUAAAAACCAUCACAUUUGUUGCUGGUUCUUUAGCUGCAUUUCUAGCUCUUUGUUCCAACUAUAAAAAUAAUUUCCUCUUAUUCUUCCUUUGCGCGCGCGUGUGGCGGUGCACUGUAAUUUCACAGAGAAUACAGAAUAUGUUCUUGAGUGGCACCAAAGAUAUGCUGCUGCCAUUGGAACCGCGAAAGGUUUGCGUUUUCUGCAUGAAGAAUGCCGUGGAGGUCCUAUAAUUCAUAGAGACAUGCGACCAAGCAAUAUACUUCUCACACAUGACUUUGUUCCAAUGGUAAAUUAAUGUGCAUAUAAUCUUUGAUACUCUUGUUUUCCCUUGUGAUGAUUUUGGGUCAAUCUAUACUGUUUCACAUAUAGUGAAUGCAAAUGUUUUUUAUGUAGUUCUAUGAGCUCACAUGUAAUCUCUUGUUAUUGAUAGAGUUCAUAUCAUCAACAUUAUUUGACAACAAGGGUUUAUAUUUGACAAUGACGAGAGUCUUUUGAUACUGCAGAAAGUGUGAUAUAGUGCUUAUAAUCUAUGUUAUUUUGAUGUGACAAUUGUGAUUGCUAAAAUACGUGAAUGAUGGUUGAAAAUCAACAGAGGAUCUACGAAACUAUAUUUUCUUUCAUUAUUUUGUCACUUAUUUGUACUACAAUAUGUUUGUGGUUUUUCGUCUGCAAACAAGACCAGUGCCGGGGGCAUUAUAGUUGAUAGUAUAAUGUAUUCUAUACACAGCUAGGUGACUUUGGCCUCGCCAGAUGGAAGACAACUGAUGAUCCUGUGCAGACUAAAAUACUAGGCACACUCGGGUAUAACCUCUAUCAGAUUUCUACUUCUCAGGUUUUGGCAUACUAAAAUAGGAUCUCUAUGCAUUUUAGUAAAUAGGAUUGAAUACGAAAAUUCCUUUGUGUGCAUGGUAUACACCUAAUCCAUCGAAUUGAGGACUAAAGUAGGCUUUUUUGUUCAAUUAGUUACCUUGCUCCAGAAUACGCAGAGAAUGGUAUAGUCUCCAUAAGAACAGAUGUCUAUGCAUUUGGCAUUAUUCUGUUACAACUUAUGUCAGGACGCAAGGUGGUUGAUAUGAAUGGAGAAGAACCUCAACAAUCUCUGAGACAAUGGGUAUGUCGGUUUCUGGGUAUCUCUGAUCUCUGCGUCAAUAACUGAAAAUAUUUCUGAGGAUGAAAUAAGGCCUUAUGUGUCCUUUUUUGGCUAAACAAGAGAGGCUUCUAUUUAUUGUUAUGUUCAUUUGCUGUUUUAGGCAGAACCGCUGAUUGAGAAGCUUGCAUUACAUGAGCUCAUUGAUCCUCGUAUCGAAAAUUCAUAUGACACAUACGAAUUAUACCUGAUGGCUAAAACAGCAUACUUGUGCGUGCAAAGGAAUCCUGAAGGGCGGCCAUCAAUGGGAGAGGUAAUUGGACUCAGAAUUUGAUGCUUUAGCUUCUUUCAUGGUUUGACAACAAUUUAAAAUUGGCGAAUGGAUUCUUUCAUGCUCAAGGUAGUGAAAUAAUUUACUAAAAAAAUAUUUAAUGUCAAUGAAUGAACCCAUUUGCAAGCAUGAAAAUGUAUGCGCAUAUCAGUACUAGUAUCAAUUAUAUAUAGAUAAUUUCAUGAUAAUCAAAAAAAUUGUUGAUGACUGAUUCACAAUAAUCAAGUGUCUUCUAAUUAAUUUUAAUAUACAUGCAUCACUCUGCUGCCACUUCUUUCUCAGACAUAAUAAAUUCCAACUACUCGGUUAACACCACAGGUUGUGCGUCUACUUGAGGGGGAAAAUGAUCGUUUUCACCACUUAGGGGAGAAAUUUGUACAGCGUCAUCAUACAAAAUGAUGAAGAAAAUGAUACACUUUAUCCUCUCAUCGGUGUUAGAAGUUUCUGCAUACCAUCUUUUCCCGAUUUUUCGGACAUUUCUCCUGGUUCAAUUGUUAGUCACAGGUAACUUUGCUUCUUGGUUCAAUUGUUGCUUUAUAAAAAAUACAAGGGAUAAAGUAAGAGUCUUGCUUUCUCCACUUUCGUAUAGUAAAGGUAUGCACUCACUCAUUCAAUCUAAUUUCUCAUCUAUCGCCUGGGAAUAAUUUUCCCCUACUUGUUCCGCAAUUAACUGCAUAGGCAAACUCACACGCGUUUUAGAUAUAUGUUGAAGCGCAAAGCAAUAAAAAUUAACACAAUUCUGAAUAAUGAUAUGUAUAUUGAUGAAAAUUUCACAUAUGAGGAUCUGGAUAUUUUCCCUAAUAAAAUACUAGAAAUCAAAAGAAACAGAACGCAAAAAAUAUAAGCUAAAUCUGAGUUUCCUAGAAAAAAAAAGAUAAGAAUAAUACAAGUUUCUUAAUAGAGCUAGGAAUUUGGUGAAAAUAACAUGGACCUCUUAAAGACUAUGCAACUUGAUUGUUUCACCAACAACUUCGAAAUGGUGUAUCACACGACUCAAUUCGACACCGGCAGUGCAAGUAAUGAACGGUACCAUGAAGUUGCGUACCCCUAGCACACUACAUCCUACAACAAUAUGAUGAACAAAGGUACUAAGGAAAUGAAGGAGCCUCUGUUAAAGUUGACAAAACUCAUGCAACUUGAUGAACUGGGGCAUGAGUGAUCAUUGUGAUUUGUAAUACGACGCGAGAGUUGACAAAUUAAAAACAAGUUUGAUGAUGACUGGGAGACUGUUGUAAGAGAAAGAUAUAACUUCAGAACAUGGGAUAUUGGAAGAUAUUCGCAUCCAACUUCAUAGGGAUAAGGUUCAAACAACCAUUGUGCCAUCAACAGCAACACGAAUUCUUGGUUCCACGAAGGCACUCAACAAAAAGUUGAGGUGACUGCAAACGCGACGUGUUAAGCUUUGAUUACUUUGCAGACGAUUUUCUUUUCCGAGUCGGUCUACAAUACGGUAUUACAGUCGUUGAACUUUUUUGAUUUUUUUUUUCAAAUUAUAUUCCAUGACCUUUGGGUGAUACUUCUAGAAUUUCAACAUGAAACUUGAGAAAGUGAAAUGUCCCUGACAAUAAAGCCACUAUAUUAUAGUUUUGCCUCAGAUUCCAUUCAAAGUCAUUUUAACUAACCCAUCAAAAAUUGAGGCACUAAAGGUCUAUUCAUGGCACCAGACACCAGCCUGUGUGAGGAGGAUAUAAAGACAUAUUGAAUUGGACUGAACAACAGUACACACCACACAAGUUUGAGUCUAGAGGGAAUCAUUAGGGUUUUGGCUUGCUCCACAUAUCAAAAUAAAGCAUGUUAUUCUUUUUUUUUUUUUUUUUUUUUUUGGGAGAAGAAUAAAGCAUAUUAUUCUAGAUUGAAAUGGACUUCAAUUUGGGAAGGAUAUAAUAUAAAUCCAUCUCUACAGCUAGUUAAAGUGUCCUUGUAGCAUUUUUUUUUAUUUGUCUCCGUCUUCAUAUCUGUCACACGUAGAUUGGCCAUGGUGAGUCUCACUUGCAAAUUGCAAUAAUCACCAAGAGUGCCAUUAUUACUCAUCACUAACAAAGGCCAGCGUAAGUUAUUUCAAGAUAUUCAUUAGGCUUGUUUUAGAGGAUAUUGAUAAUGAUAAUCAACAAUCAUUUUGACGAUAAAUGUUAAUUAUACCCACAGUUAAAGCACCUUCGUAAACAUUAAAUGGAGCAGUUCAGAAAAUCCUUUUUUUUUCCUUCUUUUAAUAUUGCAUUACAUAAUACAUAUCCAGUGAUAUUACAAUUAUAAAUCACUCGAGACUAUUGAUGACGAGUUUAAAAAUUUGAGUAGCUUCAAAAUUGGAGAAAUUUUCUUCAAACAAAUUGGGGAGAAAUCUAACCCCUCCUUUGAGGGGCUUAAACCUCGUAAUACAAUGUUGAAAAUAAGUCGUAAAAGGGGGAGAUUCUUCUGCUACUCUUAUAUACUUAACGUAUGUCCAUUGUUUAGUUGAAAGAAGUUAAUAAACUAUCUCAAGCUCAUUUUUGCCAACGAUGUGAACUAUGAUAGAGAAUAAGGAGUAAAUAAAGUAUAAAAGAGACAACAUCUACUUAAUUGUUAAAUCGAUACUAGCACAAUUGAUGAUUAAAACCUCUAGGAAAGCAAGGCAACAACUUUAAUUUUAAUUAGUAAUUACUUAAGCCAAGGUUCUUAAUUAUAGCAUUGCUGCUUAAGCAAAAGUUGACCAACAUUAAUAUCACCUUGUCCCAUUCUUGAUCACUUCGCAACUUCUUUUGUUCACUUCACUCAGUGUGUCUUUUCUUUUGUUAAGCUUAUAAUUUUACCUCUUUAGGCGUUACGUACUAACAUCUUUUUGGUUGCUUGCUUGCAUUAUGCUUACUUUGAAACUAGCAAAGCAGCACUGAGGGAGAGAGUUAAGUGGAUCAAAAAGAACCCCAACCAUUGGGGAACAAACAACGAUCAACGCGUCACAUAAUUGCAGCAUUACACAUAAAAAAUGAAAAAAGGUGUAUAAUUGAUCCCCACAGUUGCUAAGGCAACCAUAUGCAUGCAUCAUGUCUAGAGCUGACAAAAGUUCAUACGACUUUGAGAGUGUUAAAAAGUACAAUCACUUACAUCGCGUCUCAAAAAAUAUUUGAAAUUAGUUUAAGUUAUUAAGUAUAAACUAAAAAAGAUUUGGACUUAAAUUGAGACAUAAAAAUAAGAAUAGUAUUGUCGUGCUAUACAGAAGAUAGAUGAUUACUUAUGUAACUCAAGAUAAAUUUAACAGUUAUGACAACAAAAUUAAACAAAUAAAUAAUACUUGAUUACUAACAAAAUCACGUGCCAUAAGGAUAAAAAUGACAAAACAAUUGCACACCUAAUGAUUCAAAAUUAAAGGAAAAAAAAAAAGGACGGUGAGGAUUUAGGUCUAAAACAAUAUCUUCCACUAGCACGGCACUCUUCUGUUUAUAAAUAGUAGCUAAAAGGAUAGAGAAAAAAAGACUUUUGGCUAGUUUCUUUCUAGAUCUAAAAGAAAUCAAAAGCAUUAUUCCAAGUUCUACUUCAAACUAUCUAACUUGAGCUUUGAAAAGCCCAUUUUAGGUACGGUUGGACCUCGCUUGGUAGUUUGAAGCGUUGAGCUAUAACGCUUUGUUCAAACUCUAGAAAUUAAUUUAAUUCUAGUUAUUGAAGGGUUUUAAUUAGCACCUUCAUACUCAUCAACACGACAGACAUGAACCCCACAUUAUAAAAACAAUUGUUGGGUCAACCUUAUCAAGUCGGAUUGUUAAUGCAUUGACCUACUAAAACUAGUCGGGUUCAAUUUUAAGAUCAAAAACCCAUUUCACCCGUUAACAUUAAAUAUUAAUAAUUUAAUAAAUUUUAUAACUUAAAUUUUAAAUAUUUGAUAAAUUGACUGCUUAUAUAAAGUUAUGACAAAUGCUAAAAUUCUUAAGUAUUUAUUAUAAAAUUUGUAGCCACUAUUGUACAUUUGCAUUUUCUCUUGUAAUGUAGUUCUAUUUCUAUAAUUUUUUUUUGUCUUAAAAAUUUAAUCAAUAUUGGUGCCUAUAACUAAAGAGUUUAUUUUUUUGUACAUUAUUUGAUGAUGUUAAAUAUAAAUAAUAUUAAUUUUUUCUUUUGUUUAGUAUAAUAUUCUUAAAGAGCUUUGUUUGCUUUAAAUUUAAAAAUACAAUAUUAAAAAUAAUGGGUUAAAUGAGUUGAUUUGGAUAACACAAUAAUAACAAAGAAUAGGUUUGAGUUCUCAUUUUUUUAUCUAAUAAAUUAAUAGGUGGAUUUGAGCACGUAUAAUUUAAUACGAAAAUUGAUUAAACACGAAUCAUGUCAACUAAUAGGAACUGUGAAUCUAAAUAUUUUAAAUUUCAAUUUUAUGAGGACUUUCGGUUUAUUUUGAGGGUGGUCAUUUUUUAUACAAGUUCUCACAAAAACAUUUUUACAUUUUUCUGUAGGAUUAACUUAUACCAAAGUCGUCAAUAAUCAAGAAUAUGCGAAAUGUCCCACGUGAAGUUCUUUUGAUCACGUGUUUAAUUUCGAUUUUCGUAAUUUCUGAUAAUUAAUUGAUUAGUAAUCAAUACGUGUUUGUUUGCGUUAGGCGGGGGGGCAGAUUGGAGACUGACAAGACAAGAAAGUGGGGGAAUCCAAUUGAAGAUUAUGUCGCACUCGGGAUCCAAUGGUUUCAGAUCAUGGGGCCCCCAGAAAGGUGUAGUGGACGGCUAAGAUUCAUUUUCAAAUUAAUCUGUGAUACGGAAUCUUUAGCUACAUUGCAACUUGGCUUGUGUGCGGUGGCAGACUUACUUGGUCCAACAAAUUUCAUUAAAACCCUUAAUUUUUAUAUAAAUAUAGAGUUUUUACUUUUCUCUUAGAUAUGUCUCAAAAUCAAUCUCUACAUAAAUAACUGAAAUGUACUAUUUUAAAUUUAAGUUACUCUUGCAUUGACGCACCUUUAAAAUUGCAUAAAAAGAGUAAUUUAUCAUUUUAAGAAAUUUAUUUUAUUAAAUACAUGUUGUUGACGCAUAAAUCUGGUCGAUAGUGUUGCAAUCAGGUAUUCACGCCAACACUAAAUUUGUAUUAAUGGGAAUGACAUCAACUUGCACUUCCUUUGCACGAGAUGAUACUUGCAACCACGAGCACCUCCUACAAAACUCACCUGCACCCACAAAGAACAUUUAGGGGGAUGCCAAAUGUUUUUUGGACAGGAACUCUUUGACGCUUAAGUCAAUAAUCGAGCAUUUUUUGAAAAAAAAUUGUGCCCACAAUUCAUGUGGCUUAAUUAUAAUAAUUGUUUCUUCUUUAAACAACAAAGCUUUUAGGUGGAAACUAGAGAAAACUGAGAAAAUUUUAGAGAGAAAAGGGAAAUUAGUGGUAGAGAGAGAGGAAAAAAAAAACUUACCUGGUUUGAAUUUUGUAAGGGUUUUUAUAGAACUUGAAAACCCACGACUUUGGACUAAGGAAAUAGCCGUUAAUGGUUUGGGAUCGUGCCCUGAUUUUUCCAAGUAAAUCCACGAGUUGACUCUUGACCGACUCUCUGAAUUGACUUGGUUUAAGUCUCUUCCUACAUGAUUCUUACGCAAUCACAUUUACCAACCAAGCUGCCCACUUCUUGAUACCCCAAGCAAAUUGUUUGCAUCCACACCCUGAGGAGGCUCUCGGCCGUUUCUAAUGUCGAGGAGAGCAUGAUUUGCCCGGAAUCGUGUCCAAUAAUGCUCCCUCUUUCAUCCCUCAAACACAUGUAUUUUGUUUAGAGCGACAUUCUUGAUAUUGCAUUAGUUUUAUAUAUGCAUUCAGAGAAACGCAUAUAAUAAAUUUAUAAUUUAACUGGUCUGAUCAAUGAUCUUGGAAUACCCCCUGCUCAUGUACAAUUUGCAUAUUCUCUAGUUAACCCACUUCCACUUGUUAUCUGUCUCUGUCUCACUUUGGCAGAUUUGGCUCUCUUUUUUAAUUGGCUUUGUUGAUUAGUUAGUAGUCACACGAUGCAACAAGUAUUAGUCACAUCUAUUAAUGCAAGUUUGUAAGAACAUGCAUGGUUCCUUUACGUAUUUGACAUAAUAUUGUUUGUGACGAAUCACGGAAAUUGUGAAAAGUUCGAUUACGCUGCACAGAAACGGUUCUUACUCGGUACCAUCAAAGUUCAAGCCACGUGAAGCAGCUAUCCUGUUGGCCUUCUAUGAAGAAAUGGGCAAAUUUGUGAUCAUGAACAAGCUUAAGCUUUGAAAACAGUAUUUUGAACUUUUAUUUGUUUAUUAAUGAUUAAUAAUUAACUUUAAUUGAUUCCUACCUAAGAAGAAUCUACUACCAAGCCCACUCGUUAACAUGAACUUUUUUUUAUAUAUAUUAAAAACAAAAAGGGAAGGAAAGAGAGUAUCAAGCUGUUAGUUUCUACGUACAUAGAUGAUAUUCCAACGGACCUUUCUUUGUUGCAGCUGAGUAAUGAGCACAUUAUCAAUUUUUUUCCCUUUAAUUUGUUAUGAAAUUUAUAGUAGGCAAGCAUCAUUCAAUAAUCGAUAUUGGCUCACAAAUCAUUAAGAUAGCAUUGCAGCAAUCAAUCUAAAGCUAACUGCAAACGGAACUCAACCGAGAUUGAAAUUUUCAUAAACUAAAUAGAAAAAAGCAUCAACCGUUGCUACAUAAUUAAACACAACUUAGAAAAAUUCGAGCAUGUGAUCCCGAUUCUUUGAAAAGACAAAAGCAAACUUUAGAAACAUAUGAAAUUUUGAAAAUCCCUUUUGACUCUCAACUUUUUAUUGAAUCACUAUAUUAGAAUUUGAUUCCAUUUCUCUUGGUUACAAUUAACAUGCAAAAUUUUGAUUCAUUAACAACAACGGAUUCACAUAAAAGAUAGAGAAUAAUUAUCUUAUUGUUGUGGAUUAUGAUAUUUGAGAAAUGGGCGGUUGAUUGUAUAUCAAUAUUUAAAAGUUUAUGUUAUAUUAAUAUAAGUUAUCAUAGAAAGGACGUCAAGUGAAAAAAAAGAAAGAAAGUAGAGAUUCGUUUGUUUUGUUUUUGUUUCUUUAUAUAAAUAUAUCUAUAGAUUUUUUUUUUCAGACCCUACGUACCAUUUUUGUAAACAAUUCCUUAACGAUAAAAUACCCAAAAAUUUGAAGCCACAUUUGCCUGCUAAUUAAGGACAAACAACUGAUCAUAGACCAUCCCAUCAAAUACCAUAUUUUAAUUUUAUCAUGAUAAUGUAUCAACGGUGGAGGUUGGCCCAGCAGGGAGACAUUAUCCAUGGUACCGAUACUCAAAAGCCAAAUAAGGGUAUCUUCGUCAUUCUGUUGAUUCACUUGUACUUUUUUGUAAAUUGGACACAAAAUAAUGCAACGAAGAACAACUGUGCUUUGUGUGUCUGUGCCAGCAAUUAAAAACGAUCGGACACAAGUGUCACGCGCGUUAAUACGAUCGUGUUCCUAAAUUCCUGUCAUUUUGCGAGUUGCGACAGGAUCUCCACUUGCUAGACCGCAAUACUACCACUGCACGACAACACAAGCACUCGUAGAUAAGGCCGUGGUUUCACGCGCACAAUCGAUUAAUGAGACAAACUGUUGUUAUUACACGGAUUGCAAGAGGCAGAUGUUCGCGUGCCGCGUCAUUUCUAAGUAAUCAUUUUUCUAUUUCAAUUAAAAUAUAUGGCGCAAUAACGUUGGGCUCCCUUAAUUUUAGUAAAAUAACUAUCAAGGAUACAAUUCACAAAAUAUUUUAAAAAUCCCUGCAGUGUCCAUGAUGAAUUACAUAAUUUGACUGUUAUAUCCCUGAACUUAACUUAUUUAAAAAUAUUUCUUUUUCUAGUUUUUUUAAGGAUGAAUUAUUCAAUUAUUACAAGCCACUUUUUGGUUAAGUAGUGCACACUUUUUUUUUUCUUUAU